UCCCACAAGGUCCUUUAAAGAUACCGCCAUUGUAGUGAUUGAAGUAAUAAGAGCUAGCAUCAAUAGCAAUAACUGUCGGCUGGUUCGCCACAGCAUACAUGAUCGCACGUUCAUUGUAGCUAGGUUGUACCUGUUGAUAGCCGGUAAUAUAAGCUGCGUUCGGUUUGCUAUUUGCAGCGCAAGUGCCUUUAUAUCCUACAUAGGGAUAGUUCGCCUGCGCGGUCACGCCCUUGUUAGCGAUGAUGAAUUCGUAGGCUUUGUGCACCCAACCAGAUGUGCACCCGUUGCUAACAGUACAAUCUAAAACUUCUUGCUCCGAUAGAGAUAUUAGUUGUCCUGUUUUGAUCUUGUAGAUGCCUUCUACCGUCGCGAUUGAAGAGAAUGCCCAGCAAGAACCUAAUUUCAAAACAUAUAUUCAAGUAAUUAGCACAACUGGUACAAGCAAAAGUUUCGUAGAUUAUUAAUUAAGAUGUAAGAAGAACAUUCAAACAAGUAUGGACAAGGUGGAAAUAUUGAUUACUGUAUUACUUUAUUAUCUAUGUUGUUUACUUGUGUGAAAAUGAUUAAUGUCGUCAUACUUCUUGUCAGAAAUUAAUUUUUCUAGAAACUUAAACUAUCGAAGAAUGAUUUCUAAUUAUUAAGAAUUAAUACACCUUACGUGUAAUCUACAAAUUUAUAGAUAGUAGAUGAUAACGUGUGUUCGUACACUUUUAGUUCGUCUGAGACAUGAACCUUGCAUUUAAAUGCGGUAGAGGUUUGAUUUCUUUGUCAACAUAAAUGGCUGAUGGAACAGUGAGAUUUGGGCCCAAGGCAUCCUAUUCUCAUCAGGUUAAUUAAAAAAUAAAAUUUGUAAAGGUUCAGGAUGCUAUAGCUAGAAAUUAAUGUGCUUUAGUUCUCUAAACUCAACACUUGAUUCUUACCGCAAGAGCCUUGAUUCUUGACUGGUGUGACGGCACCGUAAUCCCUCCAAUCAAUGCUUUGAGGUAUCGCGGACAUGUUUACAUCCUCAAACGACACCGAUGGCUCUAAAUUUGUCAUAUUUAGAGGAAGAGAUAGACCGACAUGCUGAGCCACAAUUUCAUUAUUUGUCAUGUCAGCGAAUUGGUUAAUGCCCAGAGUAUACGAGUUUCCGCCACGCCUGUUAAAGGCUUCGAUGCGGUUUACAUUGUCUUUAAAGAUCUCAAAACGGCGCAUCUUCUCAGCAUCGUCACUGUAAACUCGGCCGAAAUCAGCCAUCCAUUCUUCAAACCUCUUCAUCAUCGAAUCAUCUGCUUCGCCGCGAGAAGCCAACGACGAAGCCCACAUCACAGAAAGAAACAAAAAAAGAAACAAUAUUUGGAAUUUGGAAGCCAUAGCUCUGACUUACAAAUGCUUUUGUUGCUGAGAGUUAGGCUCUCCGCAUCGAGUUUAUAUAGAAGUUCUCGGCCCAUGCACUAAAGUUGCUGGACCAUUAAAUNUCGAAUCAUCUGCUUCGCCGCGAGAAGCCAACGACGAAGCCCACAUCACAGAAAGAAACAAAAAAAGAAACAAUAUUUGGAAUUUGGAAGCCAUAACUCUGACUUACAAAUGCUUUCGUUGCUGAGAGUAAGGCUCUCCGCAUCGAGUUUAUAUAGAAGUUCUCGGCCUAUGUACUAAAGUUGCUGGACCAUUAAAUUUUAAUUUUUUAAAAACUUUUUUUAGAGGAAAAGAUACAACGUGCAUGUGAUGAAAUCAUUAAUUAAUUUCUCUCUUAUCCAUUGUUCGAUAGGAAAGUCGCAAUCAAGAGAGGUACAACUUUUCACUCCGUACGCGAGAGUUAUAGUGGCUGAGCUUGCCCCUCCAUGUGUGUUGACGUACGUCGUUGCAUGAUUGAUAAUACAGCAUGCGUUGCACAACAGGAAUUAAAAAUACAGCAUGUGCAUGCGCAACAGGAAUUAAAAAAUACAGCAUGUGUCGCACUAUAGGAAUAAGAAUAAGAGCCGCACAUAAUUUUAAAAUGAUAUAUGUACAUUAACAAAUAUUAUUAUUGUUUACAAUAGCUCUUUUUCUUUUUUUUUUCUUUUUUUUUUGAGAGGAAUCUCAUCAAAAAUAGAGAAUUGUCUAGAUAUCUAUCGUUUCCUGAUGUGUCGAUAUGUUGAAGGUGUUUUGGAUUAUAGUGGCGUUGGACCACAACAUACAUGUGAGUAGUUUAGAUAUCAUGUUAUUUUCUGUAGAUAUUUAAGAUUUCGAUAAAUUGAACUACAUGUCUCUAUUUUUUAAAAAAUUUGAUAUAUAUUUAAGACAUGACUCUUUCAAUUAUAUCAUGCUAGUUCUUAUUCUGAAUAAAAAAAAGGGCUAAAUUUUUUCUGAGUAGAUUUUUCUUUUUUCUUUUUCUUUUCUCUCUCUCUCUCUCUCUCUUUUGAGACCUAGUAGUCUUAUAUUUUGUAGCUAAGUUUAUUUUCGAAAUGAAUGAAGCAGAUAGCUUGCUAUCUUUUUCUCAAAAAAAAAAAAAAAAAAAGCUUAAAUUGAAUCAGUCAAACCUAUCCCCUGCUGUGUAUCAGUUACAACCUCAAUUUUAAAUAUGUUGAAAGGCAAAUUGCACUAAUAAUCUCAACAAACUUCUAUUUUUAGUCCUCAAUUUUAAGUUUUCAAUAUUUGGGACUCGUGACUAUCCAUUCUAGUGCUUAGUUAAAAAAAGUAAAAAAUACAAAAAAUUACGAGCAAAUUAAGCUAAAUUGUAGAAAAGCUCCUUACAUAUGUUGGAUUUUACACUUUUUCUUCAAUAUUUAAACUAUCAGCCAAAUCAUUAUAUACUUUACAACCACUCGCACCAAUAUAAAUUAAGAAGCGAAAAAAGUUCUAAUAUCGUGUUAAAGAACUGAAUCUAAUCAAAACAAAGUCACGGUAAAGAUAACUCUCACAUUAGAUGUACUAUUUAAUAUUAUCUAAUAAUAUAACCAAACAAGUACUCUAUAGAUGAGCGUACAUGCUAUCAGAAGCAGUCGAUGAGCUUCCCGUGCCUUCCAAGUCGUUUUGACUGUUGCGACUUGCGAAUCGUCGAUCGACUCCGUUAAACUUGAUCUAGAGUAUUUGAAGUACCUAGAAAAUAAAUUUUAUGAUUUUACGAUAUCAUUUGCCUAGUGAACGAAGGAGCUCAAAAUCAACGGCUGAAAAUAAAAAUCUUACAAAAUAUAAUAAUAUGACAUUAAAAUUUUAAAUCAAAGAUAUUUAUCUUGUUUUAUAUAGUAUAAAGAAUUUUCUAUCAAAAUUUCACGUGAUUUGGAUAUUUCUACACCGUUAAACUUGCAAACGGCUCACUACGGCCAUUGAAAUUUGUUGAUUUUGAGCCCAUUCGAUCACUAGGCAAAUAAUAUCGAAAAAUAAUAAAAUUUAUUUUCUAGGUACUCCAAAUACUCUAGAUCAAGUUUAACGGAGCCGAUCGACGAUUCGAAAGUCGCAAUAUCGAAAACGAGUUGGAAGCACGGAAGGCUCCGUGCUUCCGAUAUCAUAGUAGCCUCACUCCUCUAAUAAUAUAAUUUUGUAUUUUGUAUUUCAAUUAUAUAUACUUUCCAUAUUGACCCUCACAUUACCCCAUAAAUAUUCAAAACAAAUAAAUCUACAAAAAUAUUUUUUUUUGAGAUAUUUUUGUAUCAUAAUGUUGCAUGUGCAUGUGCAUGUGCAUGACUUUUCAAAUUGCCUGGGACAAAAAUAUUAUAUGUUUGGGGACUUUGCGGAUCGGCGCCACGUGGUCGAUUCAAUGGUCACGGAUCUCAGUUGCUUUUUCUCUCUCUCUAAAAACACAGAAUUUUUUUUUUGUCUUUCCAUCCGUGGCCAUCGGAUCGGCCACGUGGCACCAAUUUGCAUAGUCCCAAACACAUGCCCAUAAAAUUUUUGUACAAUUGUCUGGGGGCCAUCCCAAUAAUUUUGCAGCCAACGCAUUCAAUGCGGUGACAACUUAAAUUUAAUUAUUGGAGCAAGAAAAUGUGAAACCCUUAAACUUUAAGCGACUUUGAAAUAGCUCCUCAAUAUGGUUUUUCCCUCAUUGCCAUGUUUUAUAUUAGUUUAGGGUGUGUUUAGUUCUACCUAAAAUUGUUCCAAUUUUUUUUUUUCGGUUGAAAAGUAAAAUCUCAAAACAGAACCAGAAACCAUAAUGUCGAAGCAAACAACAGAACCAGAAACCAUAAUGUCGAAGCAAGCUUAGCAAUUGGAUGCAGCAAACAUCCAUAUUUAUGCAAGUUAAGCAAACAAGAUAGCAAACUGCAGUGUUGCUAAAUCAUUUGCUUCCCACUUAUUAAGAUGAGCACAAUGUCGAAAAAAUAUUAUUAUUAUACUUUCAAAAAUACAAUUAAUUUAUUAUUGAUAAUGUGGUAUAAAUAUGAUACGGUAAAUUUUCUCAUCGUCAUUUGUUUGGACCGAUACGAUGUAAUCGGGAGGGGUACAACUUUCACUCUUACGCAAGAGUUAUUGCUGUUGAUGUGUUGUUUAUUGGGACAAAAGUUUUAUAGGCAUAGUGCUCAAACUAAUUAAUUUGGAGAUUAUGCGGACUGAUGCCACGUGGCCGAUCCGACGGCUACGGAUGGAAAAAAAAAAAAAAAAAAAUUCGUGAUUUUAGAGAGAGAAAAAAAAGCACGGAGAAUCCGUGCCCGUCAGACUGCCACAGGGCGGCCGUAUCCGCAUAGUGCCCAACCAAACUAAUUAAUUGAGCACUACAGCCCAUAAAAUUUUUGUCCGUUUAUGGAAUUAUUUUUUCAGGAGAAGAAUGACGCUAAUCUGCUACCAUAAUAAAGAGGGUGAAUUAAUAGCUACAAGGAUGAGGACAGCAACGUGUCACAGAAAGAGAGACAGAAAAAAAAACAACGAAAAAAAACAUAGGAAGGUAGUUUCGAUUACAAGACCCAAAGAAUGUUCCAAGAGUUUUAUUGGAAUGAUACGCGAAUCAUGUUUGCACAACGGGAGGAGGAGCAAAUAAGAGAGCAAGCAUAAAAAUUACAACGCGAUUCACGCUCUCUUAAAAUAUUAUAAAUAUUUACAAAAUACCUUUUAAGCGAAAAUAGUCCCAUCAAAACAUAUGUUGAGAGUUACAAAUAAGGACGUGUUUUGGUUCGCUUUUUUUUCGCGCCUGGAAUCAAACUUCGAAAUCGGAAUGGGUAAAUCACAUUUGUGGGUGUUGGUACGGCGGAGUGCCAUCCAAUUCCCGAUGCCCGAGUGGACAUGGAAUCCCCCAAUCACUCUCUUUUCAUUCCGCGGCUUAGGAGGCCGAAUUGAAAUUGAAUCCGACGGAAUGAUAUUUAAUUCGGAUUAAAUUUAUUUUUAAUUGUUUUUAAUUAAACAUAGAGUUAAAAUCAAAAUUAAAAAUAUAGUAAUUUUUAAAUUUAAUUUAAAACCUAAAUUAAAAUUAAAAUGUAAAUCAAAGUAUUUCGAAUACUAAACUUAAUGAAUUGAAUUUAAAAAUUAAAUUUUAAAAUUUAUAUAAAGUUUUAUUCAAAUUUAUUGCAACCCUAAAUUAAAUUUAUGAUUCAAAUUAAAAAUUUAAAUUUGUAAAUUUUAAGUUGAAUUUGAAUAAAUCUAAAUUUAUUUCAUAUUUUUAAUUCAUCACACUCACUUAAAGUUUAUUUUUUUAAAAAAAAUAGAUUUUAAAUUUGACAUUAUUCAAAUUUUGAUAUAAAUUUUAAUAUUUAAUUUUAAUUUGAAUUUAAAUUAUAUAUGAAAAGAUAAUGUUAGUAUAGUUAAUUGAUUACUUUUUAUAUCCACCUGAACCAAACACUGAAUAAGGAAUGAUUUAUGCGAUUCCGAUUCAAGGUAUUAAACCAAAUCAGGGAAUAGUAAGAGCAAUUAACAAUUCCGAUUCCAGCUUUUGGAUUCCGAUUACGCGAUUGCCGACUCCGAUUUUCGAACGACAAACACUGCCCUAUUACCAUUGACUUUUACCAUUGACUAUUAUAUAUCUAUUAAUAGUCGGCUUAAAUUUUUAUAGUGAUAUCAAUAAAAAGGGGGGCGACGAUAUUGCCCAGGCCAUUCAUUGAAGAGGACAUGACCCUACAUAUUUUUGAAAUGCCCUCUAAAUAUUUUAUGCAAUACAUUUAUAUCAUCAUGCAUCACAAUGAAUAAUUAAAAAUAAAAAUAAAAAUAAAAAUUAGAAUUAAAACUAAAAUUAAACUUUUAAUGUAAAUAAAAGUGCAAUCAAAUUUAAAUCUAAAUUUAAAUUGAAAUAAAUAAAACUAAUUCAACAUCUAAUUUGACAAGUAACAUUAGUGAAUUCUUAAUUGGAUUCAAUUGAAUUUUCAAAUUCGAAUUACAUUUGAGUGCAGCUAAGAUCAAAGUUUAAAUGAAAAUUGACCAAAUAAUGUAAGCUGAAAUGCAGCUAUUGCGUUACAAGUGCCUGGUAAUGCUUGAUAAGGAUAGUAAAGCGCGCUUCGACAGGUCACCCGUUGUUAGAUAUUAUGAAACGUAGCCUUGUCCACCCAACCGCCUGCACCCAUAGUCCGUAGUUUAAUAAUACAACAGCACAAUCGAGAACUUCUUUCUCCGAAAGAGAUACUAAUCCCUGCUUUGACUUGUAGAUCUCUUUCACUGUCGCAUAUUGCACUGAAGCCUGCAAAACCUAUGCAGAACAAAGUUUUACGUAGCAUAACUAACUAGAGACAAAGUUAUAUAAUGAUAUACGCAUGAACUAAGGAAACAUUCAAACUAACAUAAUUAACGUUAUUUGCAAGUACAGAGCGCUUUUAACUUGUUUAAGAUUUUGAGUGUUAUAAAAUUGUCACCUAAAAGAUAUUGGCGGUUUGAACUCUCAUACACGACAUGUUUCAAAAUUUAGAAAAUUAACUAGUAGAGGAAAAAGUACAGACUAGAGGAUCACAUUUCGGAAAUUCUGAAGAUGAUUUUUCGGCCAAUCCAGAUUCGCAGCACACAUUAGAACAAAAUAAUGAUUUGAACACUCUAACAAGAUAUAGCAGUGUUGCGCACUUUAAUAUGCACAAACAUAACUAUACGAAGUAUGUUGUAUACAUUAAAUUUACUAUGUCCAAAUAAUAGGUUAAAGAUGGAAUACGAAUGAGAUUGAUUUCUUUUUUUUCCGCUACAACUCAGUUAGGUUUUGUUCUUUUACAGUGGCGUCCGACCGCAAACAUACAUCAUACCGAUUAUAUACUCAGAUCCAAUUUUAUUCGAACCAGAUAAUAUAGAAUUUGUAAUGCACUAUAGUCCUAAAACCUUAAUUAGUUAGGCUAAAUAAGAAAAAUCCUCUUGUUAACCAUCUGUUUUCACUUCCUCCAUGCUGCAUUUAAAAAUCUAUAACCUUGCGCCCCCCUAAAAAUAAAAAAUAUUCAUAUUCGGUUCCUGCCGUCAGUUUCUAGUUGAGGUUCCAUUUCAUAUCUUAUUUUUGUAAUUCAAAAUAUUUCUGAAUUCUCAUCUACUAUCCACACACCAUGACCGCCUCGCUCUGCCCACUCCCCUUCAUAGCGUAGAUGCAUCCACGCCUGCUCUCUGCCGCCUGGAAUGACAAGAUUGGGGAACAGAAAUAAAGAAAAGUAGGAACAUUUGUUCAUCUUUAUCACACCAAUAUCAUUCUAUAAAUACGUUUUUAUUUUUCGAUAAAAAAAGCAAAGUAUCAUGAUUUUUUUUUAAAAAAAACAAGAAAAACGGCUUUGCUAAAGGUUUCAUAUAAUAGCCAUUUAAUUAAUGCGAGCAACAUUCGCAAACUGAAAAAUGCUAGAAUGCACGGUUAUAAUUAGUGACCGUACGCGGCAUAACAAACCAAUUACAUUAAUCCUUUUAAAAAUAUAUGUCCGCAUCAUGAAUGUAAAGAGUAUUUAUUGUACUUUAUUUUGAAAAGAUGAUAUGAUUGGCUUUUAUGAGACGUGGUGCAAAUGUGACAGUGAGAUUCCUCUUCCAAACAUAAGGCACGCCCUCAGCUCAAACAUUCCAAACUAGGUCCAAACGUUCUUCUUUUUUUAAAAAAAAGUUGAGUUUUGUUUUUAUUUUUUUGAUAAUUAGAUUAAAAUAUUAUAAGAUUUUUAUCAGAUUUUCCUGUGAUCCAUCAAAUUUAAACAGUUGACCAUUCUGCAUUGAACUUAAUAAUUACUAAAAUUCAAGAUAUAUUUAUCAAAUAUAUCAAAUAAAAAUUCAUAUAUUUACAUAGGCGAAGGUACGUAGGACGUAAUGCAUCCCAAAUGGAUUAACCAAGUUCAUCGCAUCGAAACCAAAACGCAUACUUAACAAAAAACGCGUCUUUUAUUUAGUAACUGCCAAAGAUGAAGAACCAUUUCGGUCAGAGAACACCUAAUAUUUUUAAGUAAGAUUCAAAAAACCUCCAUGUGAAUUCGUAGUUUCUCACUGUUGCCUCCCUGUGUUUAAAAUGUAUCAAUUGCUCCCCCGUGUUCUUUUUCUCUUUUUUAUCAUUGCAUUUAUUUUUUAUCUUAAUCAGUCUAAAGUUAAAAUAAAAGUAUAAAAUAAAUAUUUGAUAACUCUAGAUGGAUAUCUGAAGUUUUGUAUAUAAUUUGAUGAAAUAUUAAGAAAAACUACCAAAAAAUAAAAAUGAAACCACAGGGGGCAAUAUUGAUACAUUUUACACCACAGGGAGGUAAGUGAAAAACUACGAAACCAUAGAAGGGAGUUUUUGAAGUUUUUCUUUUAAAAAAAAAAAAUUAUUUAAAUAGACUAAUUUUUUUAAAAAAAUAUUAUUUAUUUAUGUAAUUCAAUGACUAUAAUUGUAAUAGAAUAAAUUUUCUCAUUUAUUGAAUAUUUUUUUAAAAAAAAUUUUUUUUUAUUGUAAAUUUUUGAUCCGUCUGCUGAUCUCCAUCUAUUAUGGUCAGAAUUGAGAGAAAGCUAGAUACACAAGCCAUUGCAUAAGUUACAGAUAUGGUGUGGCUCAGUCGAGUAGGUUAACGGCAAACCCUUAUUUCCACCCAUAGUUGGCCGCACAUACACAAGUUGCAUUGCAUAAAGAGACCAUGUGAUCCAUUUAUAGUACUAACCAAGGCACACUAGUCCACAUAAAUGAAGGACACAUCAUUAUAGAUUUCAAACUUAACAUACUGAUAGAGACACACCGGAAACAAAACAGAAACCCACAAUGUCGAAACAAGCUAGCACUUGAUGCACGCAAAAUCCUUAUUUAUGUAAGAAACGCAAAUAAGUAGGCAAACUAGCAGGUCGAAAAAAUCAUUUGCUGUUCCGACUUAUUACGUAGCUUCAAUUUCAGAAACCCAUCUUAAUAACUUCGGCAUUAGCCCUGAUUGGAAGUAGGAAUAGAGGAGACAUGCGAUUCCACAUACUCCAGAAGACGAUACACAACUCUGCCCAUAACGACGUAUCCACUUCUCCCCCCAUGACUGCCCCCACGAGUCCUUACUAUCUAAUAUUUUUAGUUCCACGGCUAUCAUGCCCGUACCUAUAAUGGUAAUGGCAUGAUUAGAGACUAGUUCACACAGGUCCGGCGCUAAACACAACCCCAUUGUAAAUUGAAAGUUUCACUGGCAUCGAUAAGAGCACUAUGUUGAUUCGACACAGCGCGUACAUAUGCUGCGUCAAUCGUUCCUUCGCACAUAUGAAUAACCAGUAAUGUAAGCUGAAUUAGAACAGCUAUUGGCGUUUGGCAAGUGCCAUUGAGCUAUGCUUGAUAAGGAUAGUUUUUCGUGGUCACACCGUUGUUUAUGAUAUGAUGAAAUCGAGGCCUUGUUCACGAAACCUAGCCGCCUUUGCAACCGCUACUACAGCACAUCGAGGAACUUCUUGCUUCCGAUAAAGAUACUAAGUUACCCCUGUUUUAUCUGUAGAUUCCCUCACCGUCGCAAUUGCACGAAUGACCAGCAAGAACCUAUGCCAAACAAAAGAUACGCGUUAGCAUAACGACGAAGCAAAGUUAUAUCUGAGAUGCAAUGAUAUAACGAAUAUCCUCACAACUCAACAAUAAUAUAAAUGUUUUUGGCAAUACAGACUGCUUUUAACUUUAUUUCAAACGGUUUGUCAAGGCAUAUGGAGUCCUGUUCUUUUUGACUACAACGACUUUGGCUUACUUUAUAUAACUGAUUAUGGCAUAACUCAAUUAAUAGUAAGAGAACUCAGCAAAUAGAGCUAAUUGCAAAUAGAUUGAAUCAAGUCGAAGCCUGUGAACAUUGUCCUUGAAUCCUUAAAUGCGAUGGAUGUGUCCUUUUUAUCACCAUGUAUGUAUUUUUGGAUAGUUAAUUAACACUUAUAUAUACAUUUGAUGGCUAAGUUGAUUUUUUAUUAACUAGAUUCAAUACUUCAUUUCUUUGUACAUUGAUAAUGUGUGAUUAUACAUGUUUAGACACUUUUAAUCAGCCAAAGUAAUGGAAUUAUUGAGUUUUAGUGGGCGGAAAUUUGGUCCUUUUGUCCAGAAAAGGCAGAAGGCAUUCGGUAGCAAGCAUAUUUGAUCUAAGCAACAUGUUAGCAGCAUCUUAUAAAGUUAACUAAGAAUAAUUUUUUUUUCUUUUUUCUAGUUGAAGAAAUGAAGUUGCAUUGACAAUUUAUAGUCUAAAUUAUUUCUUACCACAGGGGUUUUGAUUCUUGACCUCGUUUACGGCACCAUAGUCUCUCCAAUCAAUACUUUGAGGCACCGCGGAGAUGUUUACGUCAUCAAAUGACACCACUGGCUCUCUCUCGAUAUUUAGUGGGAGAGAUACGCCGGUAUAUUGAGCAACAAAUUCGCUUUUUGUCAUAUCGGUAAACUGAUUGAUACCGAGAGUGUACGAAUUUCCGUUGCGACUGUUAAAGGUUUCGAUAUGCUUCACGUUGUUCUUGAAUAUCUGAAACCGGCGCAUCUUCUCGUCGUUGUCCUUGUAAACUCGGCCAUACUCCGCCAUCCAUUCUUCAAACCGCUUCAUCAUGGGAUCACUGGGUUCGUCACGAGAAGCUGCCGAUGGCGAAGCCCACAUCACACAGAGAAACAUGAAAAGAAACACGAGUUGAACUUUGGAAGCCAUGCUUAUGUAGCACUAAAUAUGUAUGAGGAAAUUGGAGAUGGAGCUACAAGAGCUUUUGGUGCUGAGAGUAUGGUGUCAAGAUCGAGUUUAUAUAGAAGUUCAUGCCUUGGAAUGUAGGUGCGAGAAUUAUUGUGUGGGGGCCUACAAGAUGUCACAAAUCGCCAUCAAAUUAAGAUUAAAUAGUUCUGGACCGCUUGCGGCACCACGUCAUGUGGUCACUAGUGUAGUGAUUUGCUUAUUACGUCGGGCAAAUACUAUUGACAUAAAAAUUGGUACAAAAUAAAAUAUCAGUUUAGUAUGAAAAAAUAGUAAAUAUAGUUUAUAUUAUAAACAAACACUUCUAAACAAAAUAAAACUAAAAUGAAAAAAAAUUAAUCAUUCCAAUAAAAUUAUUCAAGCUUGUUAAAAAAAAUCGCAUAUCAUACAAAUGGAUGAUUAAAAUUAUUUUUAACUUGGGAUGUCUCCACCAGAUGGAUGCGAGGCAGAGACUCAUUGUCAGGAGCAGCAAGAGCACUUUUCGACUUAUGCUUUGUUGGAGCUUGUUGGGAACUUUGGAAGGAACGGAAUUCACGGAUCUUUUAGCAACCAACACUCGACGUACGACGAACUAGGAAGGAUUGUUGUUUCCAUCGUAAAGUUCUGGGAAUCUAUUUUGGGGUCCUAAUUGUGAAUCGUUUUGUUUGUUUUACCCUGUUAAUUAGUGGUCCUGUUCUGUUAAUUAGUGGUCCUGUUGUGCUUUCUGAAGUUAGCUCAAGGGGCCUUCUUAGGGAAAGCCAAGCUAGCUCUGCUAUCUUAAGAUGUAUUCUCUGUUUCAAAUAUAGUAUAUUCCUGUUUAAUCAAAAAAAAAAUAUUUUUAUAAUACAAUAAUCAGAUAAAAUAUCAUAUAACAGUUGAUAUGACUAAAAAAAACUCACAAUAACUGACCGUUCCUAGAGCAAGUGGCAAAGGGCUUGGUGAUUGGUACCCGAGGUCCCAAGUUCGAAUCCUAGUUGAUUCACAUUUCCAGCUAAGUUUAUUUCUAAAUGAAAUAAACGAAGCGGGUAGCAUGCUACCUAUCUAAAAAAAAAAAAAAAAAAAAAACUCACAAUUAUACGCAAGACAAAUACUAUAUAUAUAAACAUAUGUAAUUCGGUCUAUCGACAGACUAUUUUUUAGCGGAAAAAAAAAUGAUUCACUUCUUACUAAAAUAAAUAAUGUAAUGAAAAAAACUUUUAAUACUUUUUAUCAUCUAAAAUAGAAAAAAAUAUACUUAUUCAAAAUUUUGUCAACCGAAAGAUAUUACUAUAAAUCUAUAUUUUAAUUCAAAAUUAUUUAAUAUUUUUUUAUCUCUAAAAAUAAAAAAAUUCAUACUAUUCAAAUUUUUGCUACAAUAUCUAAUGUAAAUCUAUAUUUCAAUUCAAAAUUUAAAAUUAAUUUAAAAUUUAAAUUUAAAAUUUGAGAACUAUCAACAUAUUAAAAUAAUUUUAAAUAUUUUUUUUUCCAUAUUAUAGUGAACGAUUAUACUUAAUUACCAUUAGAAAAUAAAGAAGUUACCUUAAUUUAUAUGAUUUUACUCCAACCACUUUCAUCUACUAGCAUGCUCCAGUUCCCAAAUGUGUCUAAAUUAGAAGACAAUCCAAAUAUGAAAGCGACGAUUAGAAGUUGACAACUAAAGUUAAUUUAAUCGUUAAACUUCAAUUUACUCUCCGCUGAUUUUAGCUUAUUUUUUUAAAAUUUGAUUUUUACUGUAGUUCAAAAUUGCCUUAAUUAUCAUAUAAUUUUAUUUUUAUUUUACCGAUAGAAUUUGACAUAAGUUAGCAAAGUAAAUUUUUUUUAAAAAAAAUCAUAAAGUGAUAUCUGCUUACCAAUAAAUUCUUACAAUAAAAUAAAAAUAAUAUUAGUAAAAUAGUUAAGUAUGUAUAACUUUUCAAACCACGUAAAAAGUGAAUUAAAAAAUAUUAAACAACAGUAAAAAAAUUAAAAUUACUCGAUCCCAAUUCAUUCAUUUUCUUCAUCCAAAGAUUCUACAAUCUCAUUCUCUCAACGACAUUCGAGUGCAAAUUAAACAUAUACAUGUUACACCAAAAGUCAAAUCAGGCAUUAUAAUUUUUUUAAUAUAUAAAUUUUUAAAACUUUAUAAAAUUAUAUCAAAUAAAUUAAAUUUUAAUUUCAAAUUUUUUAGAGGAAAAGAUAAUUAGUUACACAUUUUGUUCAUUUUGAGAUUUUUUUUUUCCCCAAGUAAAACCUAAUAAGUGAUGUAGUGCCGGCAUGCAUAUGCUGAUCCUUGAAAAUUUUUAAGUAUCGUUUGGUUUGGAAAUAAGCAAAAAGUGGUUAUUCCAGGAAUAGGUAUAAAUUGAGGUAUAAGUAGGGGUUAUAUCAAUUUUGAGUUUGGAUGAAAAUUAGAUUUUUUUUUUUUUAGAAUAAAAAAAAAGUAUUUGGUUAGGUAAGAUGUAAUAAAAAUUUAAAUGGAUAGUUAUAAAUAAAAAAUAAUGAUGUUAUCAUUUUCUUUAUAUUAAAAUUUGAAAUUUGAAAUUUUAUAUUUAUAUUUUAGAAUAAAUAUAAACUUUUAAAUUUUAAAAUUUCAAAAUCUCAAAUUUACAAUUUUAAAAAUUUAAAAUUUAAAUUUUAAACUUUAAAAUUAAAAUGAAAUUUUAAUUUAAAAAUACAAAAUAUCAAAUUCUAAAUAUAAAAAAUUUAAAAUAUCAAAUUUUAAAAGUUAAAAUUAAACAUGAAUUUUUUUGUGUUUGGGGGAGCACGACGAGGGGGGACAGAGGAGCGAAGCGGAGGGGCGGGGGGUGAGGUGGUGGGUGUAUCUGCGUGUGUUGUGUUUUUAUAUAUGUAGGUGUAUUUUUUUGAUUUGGUUUAUUUAAAUUGUUGCAAUUAUUUUUUAAGUUACGCCUAUGGAUAACAAUACUGCGCCAAUUUAAAAAAAUUCUUUAAUUUGAUGGUCUGGCAGUAUGUCACAUUCUCGAUUGUUCGUAGCGUGUGCUUAUCAAUAUAACGACUACAUUUUAAGGACUAUCGUCUUAGGGUAUAACGGUGAGAAUAUCUCACAACUCAACGAGNNNNNNNNNNNNNNNNNNNNNNNNNCAGACUUUAUCAAAUUUAAUUUUAAUUUAAAAAUUUUAAACUAUUUAUGUGAUGUAUGCGGAUGAUGAAAAUAUUGAUAAAUAUCUAGAGGCAUUUUCAAGAAUUUGAAUAUCAACUAUAUAAAAUUUAUGAGACUCAAGUGAUAUAUAACAGGCAAUGGUAGAAUAAGUAUUUUGUAACUAUCACGAUUAUUUUGGAUUGAGACUAAUCGUUUAACGUGAGCCUUAAUUGACGGUAUAAAUAAUUUAUGAGAUUUUUCUUAUCACUCCUCCUCCUCCGUAUGCGCAACACGUGCUCCGGUAAUAAUUCCAAUACACAACACAUCCUGCAGUAACUCUUGUUACGGAGUGAAGGUUUGUCCGCCCCCUCAUUCUGAUUGCAUCUGUCAACGAAAAGGACGAACAAAUGCUUUCUAAUAAUAUAGGUACCUGCCGUUAUCUGUCCUAAAUAAAGGUUUUAUAGCUUUGCUUGCGAAAAUGUUUACUAUAUCAUACUUACAUCGCAUCACAAUAAUAAAUAUAUUAUAUAAUUUUUAAUAUAUAAUAAAAUUUUUUUAUAUUAUUAUAAUAAAUAAAUUUAAAAAAUUCUUAAUUUGAUUGUGGAGAUGUCACUUAUCAAUAUAACGGAUACAUUUAAGACUAUGUUCGGUUAGGGGAUAAGGUGGAAUUUAUUCACCCUCAUCCCCAAACACAAAAAAAUUCUUUUAAUUUUACUUUAAAAUUUGAUAUUUUAAUUUUUAUAUUUAGAAUUUGAUAUUUGUAUUUUAAUUAAAAUUUCAUUUUAAUUUUAAAGUUUAAAAAUUUAAAUUUUAAAUUUUAAAUUGUAAAUUUGAGAUUUUGAAAUUUUAAAAUUUAAAAGUUUAUAUUUAUUCUAAAUAUAAAUAUAAAAUUCAAAUUUCAAUUUAAUAUAAAGAAAAUGAUAACAUCAUUAUUUUAUUAUACUAUACCAUUUAAUUUUAUUACAUCAUACUAACCAAUACUUUUUUUUUAUUCUAAAAAAAAAAAAAUCUAAUUUUUCAUGCAAACCAAAAUAUGAUAUACCCCUUACUUAUACCUCAAUUAUAGCUAUUCUCUGGAAUAACAUUUUGAUUAUUUCCAAAGCAAACGAUACUAAAAAUUUUCAAGAUCAGCAUAAUGCAUGCCGCACUACACUUAUUAGUUUACUUUGGGGAAAAAAAAAAUCUCAAAAUGAACAAAAAUUUAACUAAUUAUUUUCCUAAAAAUUAUGAAAUUAAAAUUUAAUUUUAUUUGAUAUAAUUUAUACCAGUUUAAAAAUUAUAUAUUUAAAAAAUUAUAAUGCCUGAUUUGACUUUGGUGUAACAUGUAUAGUUGUAUAAUUUGCACUCGAAAUGUCGUUGAGAGAAUGAGAUGUAAAUCUUUGGAUAAGAAAAGAAAUGAUUGGAUCGGUUAAUUUAAUUUUUACUGUUGUUUAAUAUUUUUAAAUUCAUUUUACGUGUUGAAAAGAUAUACAACUUAACAUAUUACUAAUAUUAUUUUUAUUUUUAUGUAGGAAUUAUUGUUAAGCAUGCUACACUUAUGAUUUUUUUUAAAAAAAUUACUUUCUAACUUAUGUAAUUCUAUGGGUAAAAUAAAAAUAAAAAUUAUAUAAUUAAGUGCAAACUUUCGAACUGCAGAAAAAACAAGGAACAAUCUACUAAAUCAGGGAGAGUAAAUUGAAGUUAACGAUAAAUAACUUUAGUUGCUAACUUCUAACUCGGCUUUCAUAUUUUUGGAUUUGUCUUCUAAUUUAGACACAUUGGGGAACUGCGAGCAAUGCUAGUAGAUGAAAGUGGUUGGAGUAAAAUCAUAUAAAUUAAGGUACAACUUCUUUAUUCUAAUGGAUAUAAGUAUCGUUCACUAAUAUGGAAAAAAAAUAAUUUUAAAUAUUUUAAUAUGUUGAUAGUCCAAAAUUUAAAUUUAAUGUUAAUUUUAAAGUUUUGAAUGGAAAAUAUAGAUUUACAUUAGAUAUUGUAAAAAACAUUUGAAUAAGUAUGAAUUUUUUUAUUUUAUAGAUAAAAAAUAUAAUAUUUGAUUAAAAAUAGAUAUUAUAGUCAAUAUCAAUUCGGUUGACAAAAUUUGAGAUAAGUAUAUUUUUUCUAUUAAGAUAAAAAGAUAUAUAAAAGUUUGUUUCAUUUACAUUAUUCAUUUACGUAAGGAAGUAAAUCAUUUUUUUUCCUGUAAAAAAUACGGUCUGUGAUAAAUUAGAAAUAUGUUGUAUCUUGCGUAUAUAUAAUGUAGUUUUUUUUUUUUUUUUUUGAUAGGUAAGCAUGCUACCAUCGCUCGUUAUUCAUUAGAAAUAAACUUAGCGGAAAUGUGAAUCAACUAGUCGAACUUGGGACCUCGGUACAAUCAUCCCAAGCCCUUUGCCACUUGCUCUAGGAACGGUCAUUAUUGUGAGUUUCUUUUAGUCAUAUCAACUGUUAUAUACUAUAUUUUAUCUGAUUAUUGUAUUAUAAAAAUAUUUUUUUUUGAUUAAAACAGGAAUAUAUAUAUUUGAAACAGAGAUACAUCUUAAGAUAGCAGAGCUAGCCUUGCUUCCCUAAGAAGUCCCUUGGACUAACUUCAAGACAACAUGACCACUAAUUUAUAUUAAUCGAACAGGACCACAUUAACAGGGUAAAACAAACAAAAACGAUUCACAAAUUAGGACCCAAAAUAGAAUUCCCAGAACUUAGAUGAAACAAACAAUCUUCCUGAUUCGUCGUAGCGAUGUUGUUUCUAAAGAUCUUAUUCCGUCUCAAAGUUCCCAAACAAGCUCCAACAAGAGCAUAAGUCGAAAAGUCGCAUCUUCUGCCCUGACAAUGAGUUCUCUGCUCGAUCCAUCUUGUGGUAGACAUACUCAGUUAAAUAAUUUUAAAUCAUCCAUUUGUGAAUCGAAGCGAUUUUAAUCAAUUUAAAUUUUAUUGGACAUAUAUUUUUUUCAUUUGUUUUAUUUGUUUAGUAAGGUUUGUUUAUAAAUUAAAUAUAUUACUAUUUUUUCAUACUAAAAACUGAUAUUUAUUUUUACAAUUUUUAAUGUCAAUAUAAUUGCCCGACGUAAUAAAGCAAAUCACUACACUAGUGACCACAUGCGUCGGGUGCCGCAAGCGGUCCAAACUGAUUUAACUAAGUUUUGAUGCGAUUGGUGACAUCUUGGUAGCCCCACACAAUAAUUCUCGCACCUACUUCCAAGGCCAUGAUACUUCUAUAGUAAACUCGAUCUGACACAUACUCUCAGCACCAAAAGUCUUGUAGCUCCAUCUCAAUGUUCACCAAUACAUAUUAGUUGCUACAUAAGCAUUGGCUCUCCAAAGUUCAACUCGUUGUUCUUUUCAUGUUUCUCUGUGUGAUUGGGCUUCGCCAUUUUCGUCAGCUCUCGGACUGAACCCUAGUUGUAUUCUCCAUAUGAUUGUAACGGUUAUAAUUUGAGAUAUGGAUGGCGAGUAUUGGCGAGUUUACAAGGACAACGACGAGAAGAUUGCUCGCGUUUCAGAUAUUUCAGUAACAAGCGUGGAAGCAUUAUCGAAACCUUUACACAAGUUCGCAACAGGAAUUCGGUACACUCUCGGUUCAAUCAGUUUACCGAUAUGACAAUAAAGCGAACUUUGUUGCUCAAAUAUUAACUGGCUAUCUCUCCCACUAAAUAUGAGAGGAGAGCUAGUUGUGUCAUUUGAUGGACGUAACACAUCUCCGCGGGUGCCUCAAAGUAAUUUGAUUGAGAGAGACUAUUGGUGCCUAAACGAGGUCAAGAAUCAAAACCCCUGCUGGUAAGAAAUAAUUUAGACUAAUAAUUUCUGCAACUUCAUUUCUUAACAGAAAAAAGAAAAAAAAUUAUUCUUAGUAACUGUUAUAAGAUCUGCUAACAUGUUGCUUAGUUUUUUAUUCUUCCCGAAUGGCCCCUUCUGCUUUCUGGACAAAAGGACCAAAUCCGCCCACUAAUUUUCUGCUGAUAAAAGUUCUAAACAGUAUAAUCAUUUUUAUUUCAAUGUACAAAGAAAUGAAGUAUUGAAUCUAGUUAAUAAAAAUCAUCUUAAGCCAUCAAAUGUUAUAUAAGGUAAUUCACUAUCCAAAAAAUACAUUUUGGUGAUACAAAAGGACACUUUUUAUCCAUCGCUUUUAAGUGAUUCAAGACAUAUGUCCUACUUCGACUUGAUCAAUCUAUUUGCAAAUUAGCUUAUGCUGUGUUUUUUACUAUUAAUUAAAGUUAUCAUUUAAUCAUACCUACUAAAGUAAGCAAAGUACGUGUUAGUUCAAAAAACAGGACAUCAAUGCUGAAACCGUUUGAAAACAUUUUUUAUAUCAAGCAGCUCUGUACUAAAUUUUAAUUAUGUUAGUUAUUUUAUAUUCAUAGCAACUCAGAUAUAACUUUGCUACUUUUUUUACGCGUAUCUUUGUUUUAGGCAUAGGUUCUGCUGGGUCAUCGCUGCAAUUGCGACGGUCGCGAUUGGGAUAUUCUACAAGAAAAACAGGUAUUAGUAUCUUUAUCGGAGCAAGAAGUCUCGAUUGUGCUGUUUUUAUUUUGGCGUGUGGUAUACUAUGCUUAGCUGUGUAUUCAUAGUUCUGAAUCAUCUUUCACAGAUCUGAAUUUAAAUUUUAAAUUUGAAUUCAAAUUUUGAACUUAAAAUUGUAAGUCAAUUUUAAAUCUAAAUUAAAUUUGAAAUUCAAAUUCAAAUUUAUAUUUUGAAUUUGAAUUUCAAAAUAAAACUUUGAAAUUAAAUAUAAAACUAAUUAAAAAUCUAAAUUCACUACAUGCAAGAUAAUUAAAUUAUGGGGACAUAUGUUUGGAAUAUUUUUAUAUAAGUGCCCUAUUUAUGUCAAAACUUUAAAAAUAAUCUAUUAAUGCCUAAAUAUAAAGCCCAAUCCAUUCUCCGGUAAACUAAGAUUAUCGGACCAAUUUUCAUAUUGUAAUGAAUCGAUUGUAACCUAAUUCUUAUAGUCCAUUAAAAAAUAAAAAAGUGAAUAUUUAAAUGAUUUUACAGUAGUUCUUAAGUUAGAAGACGACCCAAAAUAUGCAAUGGCGGAGUUCGGAGCUGGUAACUAAAGUUAAUUUAAUAUGUUAACUUCAAUUUACCCCGUGAUUAAGUAGAUUUUUUCCCUUUUUCCUCCGAUGCUUCAAAAAUUCGCCGACAGAACCCAACGUCAGUUACCAAAGUGAAUUUUUUUAAAAAACUUAUAGCAUACUAUGCUCUUUAACAAUAAAUUCUUACAAUAAAAUAAAAAUAAAAUUAUAGAAUACUGAAGUAUAACUCUUUAAGCCAUUGAAUGACAAAAAAAAUAUAUAUAUAUAUAUAUUAAACCACAAUGAGAAAAAUUGAAAAUUAUCCUACUUUUUAGUUCAUCAUACUAACUCCAUACCUACAAGCUCAUGUAUUACACCAAAAAUCAAACCAUCAUGUAUUAUAUAUUUUUUUAAUAUAAAAAUCUUUUAAACUCUAUAAAAUUAUAUUACAUUAAAUUAAAUUUUAAUUUAAAAUUUUUGGGAGGAAAAGAUGCAGUUUUCAGUUUCGUUCAUUUUACGAUUUUCUUCUCUUUUUUUCCUUUUUGAAGUAAAACGUAGAGACUUGGUGUAUCCUAAUGUUCAUGCGAUGAAAUCAUUAAUUUCUCUCUUGUCCAUUAAUUUUUUGAGAGAAAGGUACCUGCUUUAUUCAUUAAAGAAAAAAUUAAACUACACGAUUAAGAUAAAGGAAUCUCCGAAGUAGACCGAAAAAAUGAAAAAAAAAAUAAUUAAAUUUACAAAAACAUAUAACAAAAAAAAAUUUAAAAAAAAGGAUAUGCUCGUUUAAACACUCUAUUCUUCUCCCACUGAAGCAUCAAACAUCUGAUCGAUUUGACAGCUAGUAAAGAAUUAGUAUUAGCCAAUCUAUAAAUAACGGUGUUUCUUACUGUUCAGAUAACUCACCAAUUUUUUUUUUUGAAAAAGAUAACUCACCAAUUGACUGUGAGUUUUGUAAAUCUGUUUCUAACAUUCUGAGCACUAUCCCUUCCCAUGCUUCCACUUAUCCCAUACUAACCUCUCUUGUCCUUUGCUGGAUCGGAAAGUUGCAAUCAAGUUUGUCCGUUUCUCUCCCUGUUGGAGAGCAGUCAGAUUUUUUUUUUUUGGUGCACCCGGUGCACUAGUUUUGUUUUAAAAUUUUAUUUUUUGUUUUUUAAUUAUAAUUUAAUAAUAUAUCUCAUGAUUUUAAAAAUAUAUGUAAAAUAAUUUAGAAUUUAGGAUUUAAAAUUCUUUUGCAUAUAUUUUUUAAAUAUCAUAAAAUAUAUAUCUGUUAUAUGAAAUUAAAAUUAAGAUUAAAAUUAAAAUUUUAAAGUAAAAAAUGAUGCACCGGUGCACCGAAAAAAACCCGCUGUGUCCCGAGAGGCAGAGCAGUCGGGACGGUGGCCCGCGUGGCUCGGGUGCCAUGCGGCGCCCAUCCAGUGUCCUCAAAAAAAAAGGAGAAUUAAUGGGUGGAGCCCAACAAGUUGGUACAAAUCGCCAUUAAAUUAAGAUUAAAUAGUUCGGGACCGCUUGCGACACCAUGUCAUGUGGUUAUGAGCUAAUCACAAAAAUAUUUAAGUUUCUCUACUUGUCUCAUAUUUAAAUUUUAUAAUUUUUUUUAUAGGACAUACAAUAACGAAAUAGAUCUGGACCCUGUUAAAGAUAAAAAUAUAUAAACAUUAUUCUCUAAAAGUUUAAGCUUUUAGUAUCGUUUGGUUCGAGGAUAAGCAAAAAGUGACUAUUCCAGGGAUAGGUAUAAAUUGAGGUAUAAGCGGGGAUUAGAUCAAUUUUGCGUUUGGAUGAAAAUUGGAUUAUUUCUGAAAAUAAAUAUAAAUAAUAUGUAUUAAUAUAGUACAAUUAAUAAUUUUAUAAUAAAAAUAAUGUAUUAUAAUAUAUAACAUAUUAUAUUUAUAUAAUUAGUUUUAAUUCAAUUUAUAAUUUUAAUUAAAUUUGAAAUUAAGCAUUAGAAUAGUGCUAUUCCACCAAAAUGGUGGAAUAGCAAAUCCCUUGCUAUUCCGGAAUAACCGGAAAUAGCAAGGUUUGACCGGGAUAAAAUAUCCCGGCCAAAUUUCAUCCCAUUUGGCGGAAUAGCGGGGAUAACUUUUGUUAUCCCCGCUUAUCCCCCAACCAAACGGGGCCUUAAGGAAUUCACAUUGUGAUUGUUUGAUUGAUGGAUGGCCAUUACAUUGAAAUUGGUCUAUGCACUCUGUUUGGUUAAAACUAUUUGAGUAGUUCUCAUCAAGAAUCCCUACACAUUUUUUUUAUUAUAUUCAUUUCCUACUUUUAUUCUAUCUCUCCACACACACACACACACACACACACACACACACACCCCCUUCCCACCACCCCCUCCAAAUUUGGCUGAUAUUAAUGAAAAGGAAUUAUAACUAGUUGAGAGGAGAUUUUCGGCACUUUAGAAAAUAAGUGUGUAUGUUUGCUCUACCGUGUUAAUUUACUGAAAUUACUGUCAUUGUACAGGGUUAUGUGUAAUUCCAGUUGUAAGAACCUUUAGAACACAUCAACUUGUGUCAUACGUUGUUACGCCUUUUUGACAAAACGUAGGAAUAUUAUUUGAGUAGAGGUAUUUGAAGAAGUUGCAAGAUGUGUUUGUUUAGAGUAUUGUAGUUCCAUGGAUAGGAAAUAAGGAUAGUUUAUCCACUAUAAGAGGGCAAAGGGAAUUAUCUAGGCUAAUGGUUCCUUAUGAGAGUAGCAUAACUCCAUUCUAGCGUACAGUUUGAUAUCUCCUACUUAGUUCUAGUUGGGAAUUUAUCAAACUCAAAAGUACUUAACAGGAUAGCAGGGAUAUUGCCAUUAUCUUUCCAACUUGCAAAUGCUGAAUGUAAAUAUACUUGGCAUGGAGUUGAACAAAAAAACUUUUAAGUUAGACCAGCUUUUUAGGGAGCUCUUUUAGUCUUCGCACUAUGCUAGGAGCUCUAGAUUUUUUUUCUGUUUGCUAAACGUCUGACUUUUGCUUCUUGAGUAGAAUAACUUUUUUAGAAGUCAAACCAAUUAGGUAGUAUAUACUUUUGCAUAUGCUAACAAAAGUAUGUAUUCGAAAAAUAUUUGCUGAGCUAACCUGUGACAUUAGGAUGCUAGCACAAGUAUCACUGCUGUAUAUGCUGNCUAAUUCCUACUUAAUUACCAUUAGAAAAUAAAGAAGUGUACCUUAAUUUAUAUGAUUUUACUCCAACCACUUUUCAUCUACUAGCAUGCUCCAGUUCCCAAAUGUGUCCUGAAUUAGAAGACAAUCCAAAAUAUGAAGAGCCCGAGUUCGUUUCUUCAAAAAAUUUUCGGAAUUUUUGUAGAUUUAUUUGCGAAUUUUUCGGACAAAAAAAAUGGCUUAAUCUAAUUUAUUCUUUUUAUUUUUUUGGAAAAAUACGUAAACAGCCGAUUAAUUCGUUUCUUCAAAAAUUCGCGAAUUAUUCGCGAAUUUACUAUCUAAGCCUAUCGCUCUCAAAAACAAAAGAAAAAAAAAGAAUUUUUAUCAGAGCAUGUGUUGCACAACGGGCGGAGGAGUGAUAAGAAAAAUCUCAUAAAUUAUUAAUACUGAUAGUUACAAAUAUCUUUAUUAAAUUAUUAUAAAUAUUACAAAUAUCUUUAUUAAAGCGAUUAGUCUCUAUCCAAAAUAAUCGUGAUAGUUACAAAAUACUUAUUUUAUUAUUGCCUAUUAUAUAUCAUUUGUGUCGCUUAAAUAUUCUAUAGCUGAUAUUCAAAAUUUUUCAAAAAUGCCCUCUAGAUAUUUUAUCAAUAAUUUUCAUCAUCACGCAUACAUCACAUAAAUAAUUUAAAUUUUAAAAUUUAAAAUUAAAAGUAAAAAUUUAAAUUUAAAUUUAAAAUUUGAUAAAGAUCUGAAUUCAAAUUUUAAAUUGAAUUCAAAUUUUGAACUUAAAAUUGCAAGUCAAUUUUAAAUAUAAAUUUAAAUUUGAAAUUCAAAUUCAAAUUUAUAUUUUGAAUUUGAAUUUCAAAAUAAAACUUUGAAAUUAAAAAUAAAACUAAUUCAAAAUCUAGAUUGAAAGUAAAAUUAGUAUAAAAUCUUAAUUCGAUUUCAAUUGAAUUUGAAUUAUAUUCGAAUCCAAAAUCAAAAUUUAAAUUUUAAAUUUAUAAUUAAAAUUAGAUUAAAUUAAUAUUACAAUUCAAUAUUAUAAUGUAAAUUUGAGUGAGUCUAAGAUCGCAGUUUAAAUUGAAAAUUGAAUUAAAAAAUUCUAAUUAUAAAUUUUGGAAAUAUUUAGAGAUAAAAUGAUAUUUUAAAAUUUAAGUAGCAUUAAACUAGCUUCCAACUAAGAUUAGGAUAACACUCCGUGACGUGAGUUUACAUAAGAAAUAUUUAUGAUAUAACUCAUUCUAUUGGAAGAGCGUAUAUGAUAUUUUAAUAUUUUUAGAGGUGCCUGUGAUAGUUUAAGAUUUUGAAAAAUAGUUAUGAAACUGUCCCUGCAUUUCAAAAUUUGGAAAACUGAUCUCCCUGACUUGCGGAUUUCAUGUAGUACAAUUUUUUGACGGUGUUCUUAAUGCAAGUAACAAAUUAUAAGCAACUUUAAAGGAAAAAAAGUUACAUAUUUUUAGGGAUCGUAUUUUGGAAAUUUGAGGAUGAGUUUUUAGUUGUCCAGGUUUCACGCUUUGAUAAAUAAUAUGAUCAGAAGAAUCAUAAAUGGCGAUAGCUUACGUUUACCUACUUUUAUUAGAUAUAUAGUUUAAUAUAUUCUUUUUCCGCAUAAAAUUACUAAUUAAAUAAAACCAAUUGAUGCUCAAACUCUCUCUUCCUAUGGAAUAAAAAUAAAACAUAAAAAAGGAUAAAUUACGCUUUUGGUCCUCAAACUAUAAGAUAUAUGACACUUUAGUCUUCAAACUUUAAUGUGUUAUAAUAACUUAUGGCUCAAAGUAUGAGACACGUGACACUUUAGUCCUUAAAUUUUAAUUAGUUGUAAUUUCUGACUUACACUAAAGUUAAUUAAUUUAUUUAUUUCUACGAAAUCGAUCGGUUUUGUUCAAUCAGUAAUUUUAUUCGAUGUUAAACUAUAUAACAAAUUUUAUAAUGUCUAAUUGUUAAAAUUAAAAAUCGACCAAUCAUAUUUUAAAUAUUAAAAAAAUUAUAGAUGCAAAAUUGAUCUUUGAUCGGAUUGUAAUAUAAUAUUAAACUUUUAUAAUAAAAUCGUAUAAAAUUUGUCUAAACUAUAAACCAUUCUGAAUCAUCUAUUCAACCUUUUAAAAUUUUAUUCUUAUUAUCGAACUAUUCGAUACGUUAGAUUUUAAAAUUUAUAUAUAAAAGGUUUAUAUAUUUUAAAUUUUAUAAUAAAAGCCCGCCACGCCUCUCUCCCCCGGCCCCGCCCCAGCGUCUGCGACGUGGCUCAUAAGAGACAAUUGAAAUUAUUUCGGGGACCAUCCGAGUUAUUUUGCAGCCAAGGUUGGACGUGGAUUAAUGCGGCGAUAACUCAAAUUACCAUUACCAUACUAUAAAUCCGAGCAAGAAAUGUAUGGAACCCCCUGAACUAUAUGCCACUAUGAAAUAGCGCCUUCAAUCUACUUUUGUUUUUUCCCAUUUCGUGUUGAGUGAUUUUGGUGACUCACAGUAAUUAUGAUAAUUUUAUCAUAUUUAAUUUAUUUAGUUUACAUACUACGUACAAUUGGCAGUUUGUGCAACAAUUAAUCUAUUCAGCUUAUUUUAUUCAGCUUGUUUUAUUAUACUAUAUAUGUUGAGUAUCACAACGAUGAUCUUCUAGCUUAUUUUCACGAAACUUUGCAUCGGAAUUUAAUAAUCGUUUUAAAUAUUUUUUAACUUCUUAGAUUACGGUGGUAUUAAAGUGCAUUACCAUAUAUUUUUUUUUUGAGAAAAAAAUUUUAUNCAUUCCGUGCGUCUGUGCUAGCAGUUCUUGGCAUGACUCCAUGCCACUCCAUAAAUCCUUGCUUUUGUUGUUUACAAGGCUAAACUUCAAAAUCGGCACUGUGGUAUAGUGCAUUUUCGCGUUGGUGCACUAUGGAUUCUUUUCUAUCACAUAGGUGCCCUGAGUUUGGUAUUGAAAUUAUUCCUCAAGGACCUUUUUUCUAGCCCUGUUGGUAUUUGUGUGUGUUUCCAGUUCAAAUCGUUGUUGGCUCGGUUUUUUUAAGUCUAAACUCAACCGAGAACCCGAAUGCAAGCCCAUCUUAUAAGGGGUUUCUGAUUAAGUUUGAAUCAGAACACGACCUAAGCCCUGACCUAACACGACCCAACCUGUUUAUAUAUAUAUAUAUAUAUAUAUAUAUAUAUAUAUAUAUAUAUAUAUAUAUUCCAGUCAAUCUAUUUCUAGCAUACUGAGCACUAAUCCCUUCCGAUGCAUCCACUUAUCCCAUGCCAACCUUUCUUGUCCUUUGUUGGAUCGGAGAGUUGCAAUCAAGAGUGGGACAACUUUUCACUCCGUCCGCAAGAGUUGUUGUCGCUGCGCUUGCACCUCAUUUAUUGUUGUUGUAUGAUUGAAAUUAUUUAGGGCAUGUGUGGCACAACAUGAAUAAGAAUAAGAGUUUAUGCACAUAAAUUUAUAUAUAUAUAUAUAUAUAUAUAGAGUCCGGCUACUAUACUCUUAUGAGUAUGAUUGUCCUCGUACUUAUAAGUUGUUUUCGAUGAUAGAGCUUCCGAAUCGACGAUCCAUACUGUUAAAUAUUAUUUAGAGCAUUUAAAACGUAUAGAAAUUAAAUUUUAUAAUUUUUCGAUAUCAUUUACCUUACAAUCAAAAGGUCACAAAAUUGACAAUUUUUAACGGCCGGUAUGAAAUAUUUGUUAGUUAAACAGUAUAAAAGAAUCAAAAUAAGUUGAUUUUUUGAUAGAAAAUUCUAUUCAGUAUAUAGAUAAAGAUCAAUAGCUCCGAUCUUAAAUUGAAGGAUCCGAUCAUAAAUUUUUAAGACGUCGUUCGAUUUUGACAAUUCAUUUUAUACCCGCUUGAUGAACUUUAUUAUGAUUUCAAAAAAUUACGAAAUUUAUUUUCUAGAAAUUUUAAUAAACUAUAUUUAACGGAAUGGAUCGUCGAUUUGGAAGCUACAUCAUUGAAAACAACUUAUGAGUAUGUACGAAGUGUUCUAUACUCAUAAGAGUAUAGUAGCCCUAACAUAUAUAUAUAUAUAUAUAUAUAUAUAUAUAUAUAUAUAUAUAUAUAUAUAUAUAUAAAACUAGGCUGGUAUACUAUCGGUAGCACGGAGGCUGAUAUAUAUAUAUAUAAAAUAGAGCUUCUACAUUUUUAAAAGUACCAAGUUAUUGGUACUUAUAUAUUUUUUGCCAUUGAAAUAAGAGAUAUACGGUUAGAAUGAUGUGGGACCAUUAAAAUUGAGUGGUGGUUGGUUCGGAUGAAAAUAAUCAAAUGUAUAGAUCUAAUAGUAAAAAAUUUACAAGUAUCAAGUGUUUGAUACUUUUAAUGUACCAUAUAUGCAGAUUUCUGAGACGGUAAAAAUUUUGCUUUUGUCUAAAUAAAUGAAAGAUGGAAUGGUUAAUUUGAUUUGAAAUUUUGUUUUUCUCCCGUUCAACUCGUUACGUUCUACUGGUUACAUUCUAUAUAUUUGUAGUGGCGUUGAACCACACCGUACAUGUGAGUAAUUAAGAUACAACCUUAUUUUCUAUAGAUAUCUGAGAUUUGGGUAAAUAGCUCUACAUGUCUCUAAACUUAAAUUAGUUUUUAAACUUGUAAAUUUGGUAUAUAUUUAAGACCGGACUGUUUGAAUUAUAUCAUUCUAGUCCUUAUUCUGAAUAAAAAAAAACAAAAAGCGGUAAACUAUAGUAAAACCUUCCAGUACUGCAUGUAUCAGUUAACACCCUCAAUUUAAUUUUAAAUAUGUUGAAUGGGGAAAUUAAUUGCACUACUAAUUAAUUUCCAAACUUCUAUUUUAGUCCUCAAUUUUUAAGUUUCACAAUAUUUGGGACUCAUUGAAUGUUUCAUUCUAGCACUUAGUUAAAAAACUAAAAAAUAAAAAAAUAUAAGAGAGAAAGAGAAAAGCUAAAUUUGUAGAAAACCUCGCCCCUUUCAUAUGUUAGAUUUUAUACUUUAUUUUCUUCAAAUUAUCAGGCCAAAUCAUUCUGUACCGACUAAGAUUUGAUAUUAGAACCACUCACCCAAUCAUAAAAUAAGAAGCGAAAAAAGCUCUAUUAUCGUGUUAAAGAACUAGAAUAUAAUCUAAAAACUCAAACGGAGUGGUAAAAAUAACCUUCACAUUAUGUAUACUAUUUUAUUUUUAUCUAAAAAGAAUCUAAACACAAGUACUCUAAUAAUAUAAUUUUGUAUUUUGUAUUUCAAUUAUAUGCACUUUCUCUAUAUAUUGACCCUCACAUUACCCCAUAGAUAUUCAAAACAAAUAAAUCUACAAAAAUAUUAUUUUUGAGACAUUUUCCUAUCAUAAUGUUGUACUAGUGUAGAGACCCGCGCGAUACAGCGGGUAGAUAAUAGAAUCAAAACUUAAAAAUUUUAAUAAAAUUUAUAUUUAUAGUUUAUUAAAUUCAACUAUUAAAAAAAUAAAAUUAUAGCUUAUAACCCACACAUUGAUAAAAUAUUAAUAUGAUGCAUGUAAUUAAAUGUUGCACUUUACAUGUAAUUAGAGAAGUGGAGAGGUGAAGAGUUGGACGUUGAGAAGAGAAAAUAAUUUGAUUUAAAAUUGGGCUAUGAGAAUAAAGAAUAACAUAUGGCAAAAAAAAAAUUUUUAUGGUACAUGCAAAAGAGUUACAAAAAAGAGGGCUGAGAGAUUAAUGGAGAAGAGAAGUUGAUUAAAGUUAUAAAUCUCACUCGAUGAUAGAAUAUUAAUAUGGUGCAUAUAAUUAAAUCUUGUUACUUACAUGUAAUUAGAGGAGUGGAAAGGUAAAGAAUUGGGCGUUGAGAAAAGGAGAAGAUGAUUUAAUUUAAAGUUGAGUUAUGAAAACGAAAGCUAACAUGCCACGUGGCAAAAAAAAAUACAAAACUGUAACUUCAUAAAGAUUUAUUUAUAGAUUUAUAGAUGUGCACGUGCGUGACUUUUCAAAUUGUGUUGGACCAUCCCAAUUAUUUUGCAAACAACGUAUUCAAUGCGGUGACAACUCAAAUUUAAUUAUUGGAGCAAGAAAAUGUAUGGAAACCCCUAAACUAUAAGCGACUUUGAAAUAGCUCCUUUAAUCUGGUUUAAUUCUAUCGACUGUUUCUAGAGCAAAUGGUCGGUAUCCGAGACUCAAGUUCGAAUUCUAGUUGAUUCACAUUUCUAGCUAAGUUUAUUUCAAAAUGAAAUAAACGAAGCGGGUAACAUGCUAUCUUUCUCUCAAAAAAAAAAAAAAAAAUCUGGUUUAAUUCUCCCUCGCUGCCAUAUUUUAUAUUAGCUUAUGGUGUUGAGUCAAUGCUUUGAGGUGUCGCUAAUAUGUUUGUAUUCUCUCUUAAAUACGUAAUUAAUGCAAGAGAUAAACUACACCCCACUCAAGUUUUUUUUUUCCAUUCUAAUUAGCUGUCAAAGAUUAAUUAAAUAUAUGGACAGUUGAAAGAAACAUUUCUCUGCUUUUCUAUUUUUUCUAAAUCUCUUACAUUUUCUCUUAUAGAUAUACGCAUGUUACGAUAGUCUUUAUAGUUCCAGUUCUAUCACUGUAACAAAAUAUAUUUUAAAUAAUAUUUUUUAGACAACGCUCUAUUAUAAUAUCUUCAAUAUUUGGUAUAUAUCAACAGUAUGACUAAAUAUUGUUAAUAAAUAUAUUUUUAUUAAAAUACUGAUAAAUUUUUCGACGCUAUAUUAAAGCGUCUGUAUAUAUAUCCCAACAUAUUUACUUAACGACUCUUUAUUCGAUAUUUUUACAGGUGUCGAGAUUAUUCUUACUGAUGCUUUAAAAACGAUCUCGAAUUUUUGUAAGUAGUAUUUCGUGAUGGACUAUUGAUGCAUAUAAAAAAAAAUUAUGUGGUUUGAUACUUUAGUUUAAAUCUAUAGAUGAAGAUGGAGCGAAAAUUUUAUUAUAGCCAAAAGUGCAGAAGAUAAGAUUUAUGCCCAUUGUUCACCCUUAUCUUGACCACAUGUUGCGGUCUAGGUUCUGGGGUGAAGAAGAUCUGCAUUAUUGCGCUUAUGUAUGUACUAUUUUCUUGACAAUUUGGGCAAUAGAAUUAAGCUCGUAUGUUUUUAAUAGUGUAAGUUAUUGAUGUUUGUAAAUUUUCGAUCUUUGAGUUAAGGGAUGUGCGGUUUGAAUGAAAAUAAUCUUCUUAGGUUGAUUGGAUAGUUGGUUGAAUAGUAUAUAUGCUCUAACGAGUAAAAAUAGUUAAAAGGAUAAAUCUAACGGCAGAAAACUUAUAAGCACUAAGUACUUGCUACUUUUGAAAACAUCAUAGUCGGACUCUCGAGCAAUAUUAGUUUUUAUAAACCGAUGAAAAAUAGAUUUAAGUAAUUGAUACCGUAAAUUUGAAAUUGUAGAUGUCGUGUAGCUUUUCCAGUUUAUAUAGUUUGCUCAGUAUAUAUUUAUCGUUUAGUUUAUGAAUUCCAUUUUUGUCUACUUCAAUAUCAAUCGAUUAUCAUAUUAUUCAUAAAUAAAAAUGGUGAAUAAAAAAGUGAAAUUGUAUCGUGCAAUUUGUGAAUAUAUAUUUUUAAUUUACCUUCUUUAAAUUAGUAUAAUUAUUUUAUUUAAUAUUUGUACAAUUUAAUUACUUUCAAUUAAAUAUAUUUUGUUUGCUAUGCAUUAAUUUUACUGCUUUAUGAAAUUUUAAAGGUAAAAAUAUAUGGUUUAAUAAAAAAGGAUUGAUGAUUUGCAAUGGGCAAGGUAGAAAUAAUUUUAAAAGAGUUGUCACUAAUCUUAAUAUUUUGAAUAAUUUUUUUAAAAUUAGGUAAAUAUAUUUUUUUGGCAUUAUUAUUUUAGAAACGCUUCUAUGUAUAUUAUGUGACUGAGGAUCAGAAGGAAAAAUUUUAGAAUGCAACUGGUAUAUUGGUGACGUGGCGUAACAAACUAAUCAAAUAUCUGGUAUAUUGGUGACGUGGCGUAACAAACUAAUCAAAUAUCUCCUUUUAGAAGUAUAUAUGUUCCAUCAUGAUUGUAAAAAAAUAUCGAUUAGAAGAGGGUACGUAGUUUCGGGACCACCUCCAUAUUGGUUAUAAGAUUGGAAUUAUUGGCACAUGCACGUGUUACGUGUACGUAGCUCGAUCGGAAUAUAUAUAUAUAUAUAUAGAACAAUAAUACAUAAUUAGCAGUAUGGCACUAUUAGGUAAUAAAUAAUAUGAAGUAACGACGAAAUUAAGCGUGCUUAUAUGGAUAUGCUUCAGCAUUAAUUUUUCAAAUGGGACCGCAAAUUAUGAUGCAUGUAUUAUCUGCUUCAAACCUCUUCAUCAUCAAAUCAUCUGCUUCGCCGAGAGAAGCCAACGACGAAGCCCACAUCACAGAAAGAAACAAAAAAAGAAACAAUACUUGGUACUUGGAAGCCAUAGCUCACACUUACGACUAGUUUUGUUGCUGAGAGUAAGGUUCUCCGCAUCGAGUUUAUGUACAAGUUCUCGACCUACUAAUUAAAGUUGCUGGACCAUUAAUGGACGUGAGAGGUCAAUUAUUCGGGGCUAUUAUUAUUAUUAUUAUUAUACGAUAUCAUUAUUGGCGGCAAUUUGCACCGCUGGUCACUGAGCCCUAAUAGCUACAUUUGGUUUGGGAACAAAUUUUGAGUAAUAAUUCGUUUAUCGUUCCACCAACAAACGAUAUUUGGGAAUUAUCUAGAAUAAGCACUAAAUUACAUUUGGAUGCUGUUUAUUGAGUUGAGUUGAAAUGCUAUUAAUAGUCUUUAAAUUUUUUUACUAUCGAUUUUUUAAUUCUUAGAUUUAUAUUUUAAUUAAUUUCUUAUUUAGGUCAUGCUAUUGAAUUUUAUAGGGAUAUAUUUAUAAUUAGUUAUGUUUACAAAAAACUAUACGUAAUUAACCCUAAAUUUAAUUAAAUUUUAAUUUUAAAAUUUUUUUAGAGGAAAAGACACAGUUUUCAGUUUCGUUCAUUUUGUGGUUUUUGUUUUUUUUUAUUUUUAAAGUAAAAUCUUAUUAUGUAGAGAGUUGGUGCUAAUGUGCAUGUGAUGAAAUUUCAUUAAUUGAUUUCUCUCUUCCGUUGUUCGAUCGGAAUGCCGCAAUCAUGAGAGGGACAGCAUUCCAGUGCUCCAUACGCCAGAGUUAUUGUGGCUGAGCUUGCACCUCUAUGUGGGACAAAAAUUUUGCGGGCACCAUCCCUAAAUUAAUAAUUUGGGGACCGUGCAAAUGGGUGUCACGUGAUUGGUUCGACGGAUGCCAAUUUUUACUAUUUUUUAUCUCUCUUUAGAAAAAUAGUAUAAUUUUUUUUUUUUUUUUCAUUGAUGGCAGUCGGAUGGACCACGUGACGCCCAUCCGCAUGGUCCCUCUAUGUGUUGUCCUUGUAUGAUUGAUGAUUGAUAGUACAACAUGUCUGGCACAACAGAAUAAGAAUAAGAGCCGCACGUAAAUUUAAAAUGAUAUAUGUAAAUUAACAAAUAUUAUUAUUGUUUAGAAUAGGUGUUUCUUUUUUUUAAGAGGGAACUCACCAAAAAUAGAAAAUUUUCUAGAUAAUGGCCGUUCCCUGAUACGUCAAUGUAUUGAAGGUGUUUUCGAUAAUAAAAUUGAGAUCUAGUAAAGUACAUUUACUGAAUAUAUAUGAGCGACGAUUUGUGAUAAUUUAUCUCUUCCUUCAAAAUCGUGUAGAAAUUAGAUAGAUUUUCUUUUAAUCGAACCGCUUCCGUAUUGAUCUAUAUAUAUAUAAUGUGAUUUGAAUACUCAUAAAAGGGGAUGGUGUACCAUUGCCCACUUUUAACAUGCACAAGACAUAGACUAUAAGUAAAAUUUACUUUUGUCUAAAUAAACGAAAGAUGAAAUAAUUAAUUUGAUUUGAUUUGAAAUUUAUAGUGGUGUUGGACCACAACAUACAUCUGAGUAAUUUAGAUACGACCUUAUUUUCUGUAGAUAUAUGAGAUUCGGUUAAAUUGCACUACAUGUCUCUGAACUUAAAUUUAAUUUUCAAAAAUUUGAUAUAUAUUUAAGACCGGACUUUUUGAAUUAUAUCAUUCUAGUCCUUAUUCUGAAUAAAAAAUGGGGUUAAAUUAUAGUCAAACUUUUCCCUGCAUGUGUCAGUUUACACCCUCAAUUUUUAAAUAUGUUGAAUGGGUAAAUUGCACUACUACUUCCCAAACUUCUAUUUUAGUCGUCAAUUUUUAAGUUUCGCAAUAUUUAGGACUCGUUGAAUGUAUCAUUCUAGCCCUUAGUUCAAAAAAAUAAAAAAUAAAAAAUAAAAAACUAUCGGAGAGAAAGAGAAAAGCUAAAUUUGUAGAAAACCUCCAUACAAAAGUUGUAUUUUACACUUUAUUUUCUUCAAUAUUUAAACUAUCAGGCAAAAUUAUUAUAUACCGACUAAGAUUUUAUAUUACAAUCACUCGCCCAAUCAUAUAUUAAGAAGCGGAAAAAGAUCUAAUAUGGUGUUAAUUAAAGAACUUGAAUCUUAUCCAAAAUAAGCGGUAAAGAUAGAUAACCUUCACAUUAGGUGUACUAUUUUAUUUUUAUCUAGUAAGAAACUAUACACAAGUACUCUAAUAAUAUAAUGUCUUUUCUAUUUCAAUUAUAUGUACUUUCCAUAUUGAACCUCACAUUACUUCAUAAAUAUUCAAAACAAAUAAAUCUAAAAAAAAAUUUCUCAAAAAACAAUAUAAAAAAAUAUUAUUAUUGAGAUAUUUUCGUAUCAUAAAGUUGCAUGUGAAUGUGCAGGACUUUUCAAAUUGUCUCGGGGGCCAUCCCAAUUAUUUUGCUGCCAACGUAUUCAAUGCGGUGACAACCGACAUUUAAUUAUUGGAGCAAAAAAAUGUAAGGAAACCCCUAAACUAUAAGCCUCUUUGAAAUAGCUCCUUCAAUCUAGUUUUUCUCUCAUUGCCCUCUUUUAUAUUAGUUUAGAGUGUGUUUGGUUCCACCUAAAAUUAUUUCAAUUUUUUUUUGGCAGUUGAAAAGUAAAUUCUCGAUGUUUGAUUGUUUGCAAAAAAAAUUUCUCAAUUUUUUUUUUUUACAGAUUCAAUAGAACUGGAGGAUUUUGUUCUCUGCUUGUUUCGAGAGGAAAACGAAAACUUCAGCCGCGAAAAUACGUGGCGUUUCGGAAAGGCGGGGAUGUGUAUCACGUGGUCCAAAAGGUGACCUCCACCUCGUGGACUGCAUGAGAGUCUCUCCCCCUUUUCUUAUAUAUAUAUAGAGUCCGGCAGCUAUACUCUAAUUAUGAGAACGAUCGCCCUCCUACUCAUAAGUCGUUUUCGAUAAUAGAGUUUCCGAAUCGACAAUCCAUACCGUUAAACAUUAUCUACAGUAUUUAAAACUUCUAGAAAUCAAAUUCUAUAGUAGGUCUUGUGUGCUUUUAGAAGUACAAGGCCUUCAUACUGCUAAACCGUUUUCGAUGAUAGAGAUUCUAAAUUAACGAUCGAUUCCGUUAGACUUGAUUUAGCAUAUUUGAAAUAUCUAAAAAAUAAAUUUUACGAUUUUUCGAUAUCAUUUAUCUAACGAUCAAAAGAGUUCAAAAUCAACGGUUGAAAAUAAAAAUCUCACAAAAAGCGGUGAUAUGGACACUAAAAUUUUUGAUUAGAGAUAUUGAUCUUGCUAUAAAUAGUAUAAAUAAUUUUUUAUAAAAAUUUUAUCUGAUUUGAAUAAUUAUACACGGUUAAAUUUGCAAACAGUAUAUAUAUAUCAACAAUUAACAAUUAUUAAUUUUGAUCCCUUUCGAUCAUUAAGUAAAUGAUAUUAAAAAAUCACAAAAUUUAUUUUCUAAAUAUUUUAAAUACGCUAGAUCAAGUUUAACGGAGCUGAUCGUUAAUUCAAAAGCUCCAUCAUCAAAAAUAGUUUAGAAGCACAGAGGCUCGAUCCGUGCUUCUAAUAGCGUAGUUGAAAUAUUCAAAAACUCCAUCAUCAAUGAUCGGUGCGAAUUAAGGAAGAAAAAAUUCAACUUAUCUUACAAAAUUAUUUUGGGAAAUCCUCGCUGCACAAUUAGGCGAAUCCUAUGCCCAAAUGAACAUCAAGAGAUUGAUAAAAAAAAGGGAGAGCAAAGAAAUGGGUUUAAAAAAACACAAGGAGGGCCCCAAUCCACCUCUCCUCCACCCAAAUAAAUGUACGCGGUACCGCCACGUUGGAUUAAACUGUGAUUUUAUAAAUUUUUAUUAUAGAAGAUGUUAUCAACAAAAAAUUUUAAUUCUUAUAUUUUUUUAUAUAUAAAGUGAAAAUUUUUAUUUUAGUUUAUUUUAAUAUCUUUUCUGUGAAACAAUCGUUGUACUCUAAAAACUUAAAUUGUUAGAGAACGAUGUUUAAACAUUUUUUAUAUUUAACACUCCCCCUCACGUCUGGGCUUGAGACUUUUUAGUCGGCCCAUGACGUGAGCUUGAAUUAAAUGGGAGGAAAUUAAUAUGUUAGGAGUCUGGCGUGACUCCAACUCAAGACCUCCUGCUCUGAUUUAGAUGUGAAACAACUGUUGUACUCUAAAAGCUUAAACUGUUAGAGAACGGUGCUUAAACAUUUUUCAUAUUUAACACUCCCCCUCACGUCUGGGCUCGAGACUUUUUAGUCGGCCCAUGACGUGGGCUUGAAUUAAAUGGGAGUAAAUUAAUAUGCUAGGAGCCUGGCGUGACUCGAACUCAGGACCUCCUGCUCUGAUACCAUGUGAAACAUCCGUUGUACCCUAAAAGCUUAAGCUGUUAGAGAACGGUGUUUAAACAUUUUUUAUAUUUAACAUUUUCCUGCAUUUGAUUCAAAAUUUAUUACAAACUAAUAGGUUGAUGAUGUCUUCUGUUUUUAUUUAAUAUCUAAAUUUGAGGGCAGUGAGUACCCCAAUUUAAUUUUUUUAAUUCAAUAUCAUUUGAUUAUCAAAUUAUUCAUAAAUAAAAAUGGUGAAUAAAAAGUGAAAUUGUAUCGUACAAUUUGUGAAUAUAUAUUUUUAGUUUACCUUGUUUAAAUUAGUAUGAUUGUUUUAUUUAAUAUUUGUACAAUUUAAUUACGUUCAAUUAACUAUAUUUUGUUUGCUAUGCAUUUUACUGCAUUUAUGAAAUUUUAAAGGUAAAAAUUUAUAGUUUAAUCAAAAAGUAUUGAUGAUUGGCAUUGGGCAACGUAGAAAUUUUGAAAGAGUUGUCACUAAUCUUAAUAUUUUGAAUAAUUUUUUUUCAAAUUAGCUAAAUAUUUUUGGCAUUAUUAUUUUAGAAAAGCUUCUAUGUAUAUAAUGUGACAAAGGAUUAGAAGAGGGUACGUAGAUAUGAUGUUAUUCCUAGGUAAUACACUAAUUACCUUAACUCUUUGAAUGGUUCAUAAGGCGGAAACAUUUUGAUAAUUAAUAUAAAGGGUACAACUCGAUCUUUCUUUCUUUUUUUUUCUUUUUUUUCUUUUUUUUUUUUUGAGAAAAGGUAGUGAAGCUACCUGCUUCAUUCAUUAGGCUAAAUAAACUAAGCAUAUAUGAUUGAGGCAACUAAGGCCUCCGGAAGGGUCUUGAAGAAAAACAAAAUAAAUGGAAAAAAAAGGAAAAAAAAGAAAAAAGACAAAAAAGUAGACAACAGUGAAUAAACCUUACUAAAAACGGUCGUCCCAAUAAGGUACCAAAACAGGGUGCGCGGUCGAGUCAAAGUGCGUCAGCCCAGUCUUUGAUCAAGUAAGUGACACGUUCGAUGGCCCGGGCAGCGUUAGAACGUGUAUCGCGAAAAAUAAUAUUAUUACGUUCCGUCCAUACCACCAACCAGAUUGCCUCUAGAUGAGCCCGGCUUUGACUCGAUCAUUACUAGGCUUUGACUCGAUCAUUACUCCGGUACAUUCUAGUUUUGUAUACUCCAGCUCCGAGGAGAACACAACGCUCGUUUCCGAGAUGCAGAACAAAUUAAACAGAUGCUGUAGCAUCAUGUCACGUUUCAAAUUGUUUCGUGACCACCUCAAUAUAUGUUCACUUUUUUGUACACAUGGUUACUGCAGAUUGAACCAGCACGUGACCGAUACGUACGUUUAGUCCCCAUUAAGAUUGGAAUUAUUGGCACAUGCACGUGUUAGGUGUACGUAGCUCGAUCGGAAUAUAGAACAAUAAUACAUAAUUAGUAUGGCACUAUUAGGUAAUAAAUAACAUGAAGUAACGACGAAAGCAAGCUUAUAUGGAUAUGUUUCAGCACUUUUCAAAUGGGAUGGCAAAUUAUGAUGUACGAAAUAUAUUAUUACAUACAAAAAUAAAUAAAAUAUUUAUUUAUCAUAUUUUUUCUUUACAGGUGGCACAAUCUUUCAAUAAUUUCAAACAAAGCGUUAGUGUAUUAGAAUUUUAAUUCUUGAAUGAGAAAUUGUUGGAUUAAAAUGAUAUUAGUAUCUUAGAGUUGAGUGAUUCCUCUAAAGUUGAGUGGUUCCUACUGAAUUAUAAUAUUUAAUUCAAUAAUUUAAAAUAAUAAAAAGAAUUGAUCCAAAAAACCUAUAGCAAAAAUGGCCUUUUGGUAUCAAUAGUAUUCUAUCCCAUCUCUCUCUCUCUCUCUCUCUCUCUUUCUCUCUCUCUCUCUAUAUAUAUAUAUAUAUAUAUAUAUGAAUCAGGCUGGGAUACUAUCAAUAGGACCAAGCGUUUAGUGCUAUCAAGUUUUUCACUGUUAGAUUUAACUCUUUGACUAUUUUUAUCUGUUAGAUUAUACUAUUAAACCGAUAACUUAUUCAACCCUAGGAGGCCCACAUUAUUUUAACCGUAUAUUUUUUCAUCCAAGGACCGAAAAUCUAAUAGCACCAAUAGUUUGGUGCUAUUGAUAAUAUUCCAGCCUAGUUCUAUAUGCACACACAGGUCUUGUGUGCUAUUAGGAGCACAGAAGUCUUCGUGCUCCUAAGUCAUUUUUUAUGAUGAAGUUUUUGAAUCGACGAUCGAUUCCAUUAGACUUGAUUUAUCUAUUUAAAAUAUUUAGAAAAUAAAUUUUAAAGAAAGCGCUAGUGGAUUAGCAUUUAGCGAGUUAGAUUUCAAUUUCUUACCUCACAUGUAGUGUGUGGGCUUAGAUUUCAACUUCUUACCUCACAUCUAGUGUGUGGGCAUGUACGUAAUUGCACCGCACAGAGCAAUAUAGAUGCACAAUUCUAUUAACUGCUACAGGCUUUACAUACCAUUACUUGAUGAUCUUAUUCGGAUAAAAAUUUGCUAGGCAUCAUCCCCAAAUUAUAAGUUGGGGGACGAUGCGGAUGUGUGCCGCAUCGCCCUUCCGACACGCGCCCAUGGAAGGAAAAAAAAAAAAUGGCGCCCUGUGUUUAUAUAGAGAGAGAGAGUGAGAGAGAGAGAGAGAGCAGAGGGAGGGAGGAGAGUGAUCGUCGGAUGGGUCAGGCGGCGCCCAUCUGUAUCAUCUAGUUUGGAGACCAUGCCCAGCAACUUUUUGUCCAACUUACUCAUCAAAACAGCAUAAACUUACAAAAUUAAAUACAAACAGUUGGCUACUAAAUAUAUAUUAGGCAGCCAGUGGAACUGAUAAUAAUGCAACAAAAAUACAAAUGAAAACAGCAAGCCCUACUCGAUCAUACAGAUAAUCUUCGCACGAGCAUCGCCCGAUUUAUUACAUAGCUUAUAAGGUACGUAGCACACAGGGCACUUCAUUGCAUGCUAAAUCGCAGCUUCGAUAACCCUUACAUGGAGCUGACACGAUCAUCCGAACCCAUGUCAGAGGGUUCUGUAAUGCGCGGUGACGAAACAAGAGUCGGGUAAAUACCAUAGCUAGCCAGACCACAUAAUCCAGGAUAUGCCGUGUCUCUUAACAUCCUCACGUAUCCAUUUUCUCCCCACCUGUUGCCCCAUGAAUUCUUUAUUAUCCAAUACUUGUCUCCGGUGCUGCUGUCCUGCCCGUAACCUACGACGGUAACGGCAUGGAAAAUAUUUGUCCCACAAGGUCCUUUAAAGAUACCGCCAUUGUAGUAAUUGAAGUAAUAAGAGCUAGCAUCAAUAGCAAUAACUGUCGGCUGGUUCGCCACAGCAUACAUGAUCGCGCGUUCAUCGUAGCUAGGUUGUACAUAUUGAUAGCCGGUAAUAUAAGCUGCAUUCGGUUUGUUAUUUCUGCAAGUGCCUUUGUAUCCUACAUAGGGAUAGUUCGCCUCCGUCGUCACGCCCUUGUUAGCGAUGAUAAAUUCGUAGGCUUUGUGUACCCAACCAGAUGUGCACGCGUUGCUAACAGUACAAUCUAAAACUUCUUGCUCCGAUAGAGAUAUUAGUUGCCCUGUUUUAAUCUUGUAGAUGCCUUCUACCGUCGCGAUUGAAGAGAAUGCCCAGCAAGAACCUAUUUCAAAACAUAUAUUCAAGUUAGCACAACUCGUACAAGCAAAAGUUACGUAGAUUGUUAAUUAAGAUGUAAGAAGAACAUUCAAACAAGUAUGGACAAGGUCAAACAGAUGAUUACUGUGUUACUUUAUGCUUACUUGAGUGAAAAUGAUUAAUGUUGUCAUACUUCUUGUCGGAAAUUAAUUUUUCUAAAAACUUAAUUAAACUACUGAAGAACGAUUUCUAAUUAUUAAGAAUUAAUACUUCUUAUUAUGUCUAAUCUACAAAUGUACAUAUAGUAGGUGAUAACAUGUGUUCGUACACUUUUAGCUAGUCUGAGACAUGAACUUUGCAUUCAAAUGCGGUGGAGGUUUGGUUCUUUUGUCCACAUAAAUGGCUAAUGGAAUGGUGAGAUUUGGGCCCAAGGCAUCCUAUUCUCAUGAGGUUAAUUAAAAAAAUAACAUUUAUUAAGGUUCAGGCUGCUAUAGCUAGAAAUUAAUGCGCUUUAGUUCUCUAAACUCUACACUUGGUUCUUACCGCAAGUUCCUUGAUUCUUGACUGGUGUUACGGCACCGUAAUCCCUCCAAUCAAUGCUUUGAGGUAUCGCGGACAUGUUUACAUCCUCAAACGACACCGAUGGCUCUAAAUUUGUCAUAUUUAGAGGGAGAGAUAGACCGACAUGCUGAGCCACGAUUUCAUCAUUUGUCAUGUCAGCGAAUUGAUUAAUGCCCAGAGUAUACGAGUUGCCGCCGCGCCUGUUGAAGGCUUCAAUGCGGUUCACAUUGUCCUUAAAGAUCUCAAAACGGCGCAUCUUCUCAGCAUCGUCACUGUAAACUCGGCCGAAAUCGGCCAUCCAUUCAUCAAACCUCUUCAUCAUCGAAUCAUCUGCUUCACCGCGAGAAGCCAACGGCGAAGCCCACAGCACAGAAAGAAACAGAAAGAGAAACAAUACUUGGAAUCUGGAAGCCAUAGCUCUGACUUACAAAUGCUUUUUUUGCUGAGAGUAAGGCUCUCCUCAUCGAGUUUAUAUAGUAGUUCUCGGCCUAUGUACGUACUAAAGUUGCUGGACCAUUAUUGGACGAGAGGUCCAUUAUUGGGGGCUAUUAUACGAGAUCAUUAUUGGCGGCAAUAAUAGCUUCAUUUGGUUUGAGAACAAUUUUUGAGUAAUAAUUUUUUAUCGUUCCAGUAACAAAUGGUAUUCCGGAAUUACAUUUCGAUACUGUUUAUUUUGUUGAGCUGGAAUACUCUAUAUUAAUAGUAUUUAAAUUUUUUCGCUAUUAUUUUUUUAACCGUAAGAUCUAUAUUUUAAUUAAUUCCACCAUUUAAAUUAUACUAUUCAAAUAGCUACCCAUUCAAUGCUAAGAAGGACCACGAUCAUUCUAAUUCUAUAACUUUUCAUCAAAAAAUUAGAUAAUCGAUAGUAAAAUAGUCAAAUACUAAUAAUAAUAUUUCAGCUCAAUUCUUAUUUAUUUGUUCUGAAAUGAUAUUAUUUUUUUUUUUUUAGUGAGAAAGGUAGCACGAUACCCGCUUCAUUCAACAGAACGAUGAAUUAGGCUACAAGAGUGGGGCAGCCAAGCCCCGGGCGAAGGCGCAAACAAAAAAUAAAAAAAAAAAAAACAACAACAACGCACGCACACACUUAGGAGAGAGGAAAGAAUCCCACUCCGACACUAAUAGCUUGAGCCUCUGGACAGCUAACCCCGGAUUUGGUUGGCAAUUCCUGAAUAUCCAAUUGUUCCUCACCUUUCAAAUAGUCCACCAGCAGCCUGCCAGAUCAGUAAGUCUGGUUCUCUUCUUGUGCUGAUCCUUUCUAUCCGACCACUUUUCCCAGACGAGUUCCACGUCGUCCCCCAGGUCCUGGGCCUAGAUAUCGUCCACCUCUGAAACUAUGAUGAACUUGGUAAAUAUGCACCUACUGAACAAGUGAUCCACGGUUUCCACUUCCGCCCCACAAAGUACACAGGUAGGGUCGUCCGCCAGCCCUCUCAAAACUAGUUUAUCACGAGUAAGAUUCCUUUUCUUGAGUACCAACCAACAAAAUACUUUGUUUUUCAAAAGGAUUUUCAGGUUCCAGAUCCUGGAUACGCGUACAUCUCUCACACUCUCAAAAACACCAUGAGGUUAGUGCUUUUGAUAUUAUUAGUAUGUGGAUAUUUUAUGUUUGAAUAAGGUAUUGAAAUGAUUAAAAAUGUAUGAAAUAUCAGUUUUGCCCUUAUAUAUAUAUAAUAAUCAAAAUAAGAGUUGAGCUAGAAUACUCUCAAAAGCACCAUGAGGUUAGUGCUUUUGAGUUUUUAACUCUUGGAUGAAAAAAUGUAAGAUUGGGAUGAUGGUAGUAGGUGGUGGUAGGUGGAAUAGUGUUUGAUCUAAGGGCUAUUAGUAAUCAAUGAAUAGACUUAAGGGCUAGAAACCUAAAAGCAUCAAGGGGGUGAUACUUCUAAAAGUAUUCUAGCUCAAUUCAUGAAAAUAAACAUAAAUUAUUAAAAAGCUAAAAAUAUUAUAUUUGUCUCGAUUAUCAAAUUAAAUAUUAAUUUUUUUUAGAGAGAUAGAUAGCACGCUACCCGCUUCGUUUAUUUCCUCUAUAAAUAAACUUAGCUAGAAAUAUAAAUCAACUAGGAUUCGAACUUGGAUCUCGGAUACCAACCACCAAGCCCUUUGCCACUUGUUCUAGGGACGAUCAAUAUCUUUUAAAUGUGAAUCAAAUUUUAAAUAUUAAUUAAUUAUAAUUUAGAAAUAAACUUAGCUAGAAAUAUGAAUCAAAUUAAAUAUUAAUUAAUUACAAUUUAGGUACUUUUUUUUCUCCCUAAAGAAAAACUAGAAGCAAAUUAUUAGCAAAGAAAACACCAUUUUUUGAAUAGAAAAUAAAAAUAAUUCCCACAAUAAAUAAAAAUUAAUUCUCAACCAAAAAAUAAAUUGAUUAAUUUGGAAGAACGAGCUCGGCGACGGAGGCGUUGUUCUCAAAAGUUAGAUCUCCCUGGUGGGAGAACCAAGCUUAACGAGUUAUUAAGAUAUAAUUCGUAAAGUCCUCUACAAGAUCAGCUUUCAAUUCUCUCUUUUUUUUUUUCUUUUUUUUUUCUUUUUUCCUAUAAGUUUAAGAAUAUCUUCCUCGUUCCGGAAAUAUUCCCGAAACAAACUCUUAGUCUCUCUAUUUCAUCAUGAUGCCAUAUGAAUGCAAUGUAUAACCCCGAACCAAACACGGGCUAAAUUUACUACCAUAUAUGUGUUUAGUUCUAUCUUUUAUUUAAAGAUUAUAAUUUUUUUCUUUCUGUAGUUAAAACAAAUUUUACAUGUCUCAUGAUUUCCUACAAGUUGUAAAGGGCUAAGUGGUUGGUACCCGAGGUUCCAAAUUUGAGUCCUAAUUAAUUCACAUUUUAAGUUAAGUUUAUUUCUAAAUAAAAUAAACGAAGCGGGUACUACUUAUCUCUAUAAAAAAAAACUAUUUUGUCGAAAUAUAUUAUAAAGUCACCUGUUAAUGCAGCUAAAAAUAUUCCCAACAUUCAAUGGAUGAUAUAUAGGUAUAGCGUUGUUAAAAGGAGCUUUUUAUCUGAUAAAUGAUCGAGUUGAAUAUAUUUGCUCAUCAAAUUUUAAUAGACGCAAGGCAUAGUCUAUAAAUGUAUAGCCUAUAAAUGUAGUUUAGUAAAAGUAAAAUUACUUUUGUCCAAAUAAAUAGAUGGAACUAUAAGAUUUGAUUUUUUUUUUUUUUUUCUUACUGGGUUCGUUCUAUUUAUGGCCGCAUAGGACCGUACCACGAUAUUCUUGUUGGUUAUUCAGAUCCAACAUUAUUUGUUGUAUAUAUUUAAUAAUUGGAUAAAUUACACUACUGGUCUCUAAGAGGUAGUGAAUUUGCAACCCACCUUAAUAUCGCUUGUUGUGAAUAGAGUAUUCACUUUUAUAACAAUUGUUAAGAUUUCAUAAUGAGAGCAUUAAAGCGAAUAUUUACUAUAAAUCCAUUUUUUCAGCAAAAACUGAUCUUAGUAGUCCAAGAAAAGAGAGAAAAAAAAUCAAAUAAAAAUAAAAGUGAAAUAAUAUUCACUAACUAAAAGUGUAGAACGCAGGGGAAGUAUUCGUUUAUACCUUUUUGCGGAAGUGAUUCGCGCUACAAUGCGACGAGUCCGGAUUAUAGAGGUUGAUUCAUGUAUCCUUGGAUCGUCCUUACAGGUCUUCUAAUGUUCCAAACUCGCGGUGGAUCGAACUACAAACGAGCACGAUCGCAAAUCCACCGUUUAAGACCCUCUAGAAUAGUUGGUUAAUGGAGAAUGUGGUUUUUAUGUUUUUUUCUACGUUUUUCUCUUAGUUUUCUUAUUCUCUUUCUUAUUCUCUUGUUCUUAUUUUUAAUGUGAGAUCACCCGCAUAUUUAUAAGAGUUUCCAAAAUCCUAAUAGGUGCGUAAGAGAUAAGACCAAAUCGGCUAUUAAUUGAUAUCCUAAUAUGAUUAGAAUUUAUUUUUAAUUAGCUUUUCAAUUUAAAAGCGAGAUUAAUUCUAAUCCAGUUAGACAAUAUAAUAACUGUCGGAUCGAGUCCGAUCAUGGAUGCACCCAAUUCGAUUUAAUCGGAUGCCAACAAAAAAAAUAAUUAUAUCCUACUCUUCUGCGCGGAGUAAUUUCAAUUCGAGCUCUCUUUGCAAAUCUCUCUCACCACUUUCUCGUCCUCUAAUCUAACGGCGUCUCUUCUGUGCACGCGUGUACAAAAUGCACAAACGACUCACAGUAUAACAAAAGCGGCCCGCACACAUUGAUGAACAGAAUUACCAACUGGACCAUACUAGGCCAGACAAAACUGUAGAUUAAUUACUCGGCCUUUUUUUGACACCCCGGGCUGUUUGCUUCCAGGAAAAAAUAUCUAGAAAAAUUUAGAGGAAAGAAGUUUUUACAUGAAAAAUUCUUAUUUAAGUUUUCCGCUCGUUUGUUUUCAAGAUAUAUUAGAAUUUUUUUUUAUUUUUUUCUUAAGUUCAUGAAAAACUAGUAUUUUUAUUUUUUAAAUUUUUUUUAGAAAACGAUAAUACUAGUUNUUUUUUUUUUUUUUUUUUUUUUUUUUUUUUUGUAAAAUCUGGAAUAAUAGAGUUUUCUGAUAAAACUGGUUUCUUUGGGACUGAAUGGAGAAACUAGUAAUGUGUGUUAAUUAGUGACACAUUUAUUUUGUAUUAGUGCUAGAGGCCUGAGCCUAGAGGUGGCCUCACACAGUACUUAUUCAAGUUCCCGCUGUGUCAUCCUGACCCAAAUGUUCCUGAACCAUGGUCCAGCCCCACUAGUUUGGACCGCACGUACAUUAUCAGGCCACGGUCCGAUCCUAUUUGCUUUUACAUUUUUUAAUAUAUUUUUAAACUUUCAUUUUUAAGAUUAUAUUGUUUAAGUUUUUAAUAUAUUGAUAUAGUUAUUCAUUCAAUAAGUAGGGAUUUUAUAACUUUUUAAUAUCACUAGUCAAAAUUUAAAUAGUUUCAAUUAUGUCUGAGAGAUAAAAAAAAUAAUUACAAAUACUAAAAGAAAAUAAAACAAAAUAGAAAUUUACGAUAACAUAGCUAACACCGGCGAAAUUAUGUCGAUUGCUCAGACAUAAUAAAACAUUUUUUUUUAAGAGAUAAGUAGCAUGCUACUCGCUUUAUUUAUUUCAUUUAGAAAUAAAUUUAGCUAGAAAUAUGAAUCAACUAGGAUUCGAACUUAGAUAAUGUAGCUUAUUAUUUGGAGCUGUUUUUUUUCCCCUUGUUUUCACUAGUAUAGCUUGCCUAUAUUAUAGAGGUCACGUUGUUUGUUUGGUUUUUUUUUUUUUUUUGAGAGAGAGAUAUAAGUAGCAUACUAUCCGCUUCAUUUAUUUCAUUUAGAAAAUAAACUUAGCUAGAAAUAUGAAUCAACUAAGAUUCGAACUCGAGACCUCAGAUACCAACUAUUAAGUAUUUUGCCACUUGCGCUAGAAACGGUCGGUAUAGAGGUCACAUUGUUAUCUACUUGGUUUUGGUGAAUAGGGAUGAUUAAGAAUACGAUCAAAUUAACAUCUUGGGCAAAAAUUAAUUAAUCUAAAAUGCUUAAUUAUAUAGUUUAUUGCGCCUAUAUUAAUCUUGACAUUUGUUACAACACCAUUAUCUUUCCAAUCAACGCUCUGAGCUAGGUACCGCGGACAUGUUAACAUCCUCAAAUUAACGUCAUUUAUAGAGUCUGAUCUAAUAUUUCGUGGGAUAUAUAAUUAAACCAGUGUGUUGAGCUACAAACUCAACGUUUGCUUUAUAAGCAAAUUGAUUAAUGCCAAGAGUAUAGGAAUUUCUAGAUAGGCAUCGAUAUGGUCGACAUUGUUCUUAAUUAAAGAUCUAAAACCGGUGCAAUUUUUCAUCUUCGUCAUUGCAAAACUACUCAAUCUGACUCGACCAUCCAUUCUUCGAACUUCCUCGGAAUCAUCGGGUUCGCCAUGGAAGGCUGCCAACGGCGAAGCCCACAUCACACAAACAAACUGGAAAAGAAACAAAGCUAACUUGGAAUAAAUGUGGAAGUCAUAUACAUGGCACUAAUUAAAAAGCAGCUAUAUUUAGAAAGGCAUUUGUUGGUGCGGAACAAGGUCCUACCAUCGAGUUUAAGUAUCGUUGACUGAUUCAAAUUAAAUAAAUUGAAAGAUUGAAUAGUAAAUUAGAAUUUUGAAAGAUUAGAUAGCUGAUUCAAGGUGAUCAAUAAUUCAGAGAUAAGCUGCAUACUUUUUUACCGACAAAGAAAUAAAUCCUAACCCUAAAUGCGCGCGCACGUGCACAGUUUUCCUGUAAUAAGCACUAGUUCGUACUCGAUCGGGGUAAUUAAGCAACACACUUUUAAUACUCGAUCAUAUUCUUAUCAAGUCAUAGUAGAAUACACGUACGUCACAACACACGAACGAAUUGAUAUAUAAUAUCAUAAACAUUCAAACAACAUCCAAUACAGAGGACACUCGAUCGUGAGGGCGAGAAUCGCUCAAAUUGGAAGACACGUACGAGGAAUUAACACGAACCAUUUAAGCACGCAGAAUCCAAACAAGUUAACUCAAUCUCCACGCGCACGUCGACGUUAUUUAGUAGCUAUACGAGUUUAUAGUGUCGCGAACGGAUCGAUCGAUCACUUCAUCAAAGCCGAAUUAUAUAUGCAUACAUAGCUAGCUUUGAUCUGAAUUAUAUAGCGCUUAUGCCAUCAGAUCCCACGUCGGCGAGCUCGAGAGGAGUCGAGUUGAUAAUCGGGAUGACCGGCUGCUGGGCAAUACCACAUAAUCCUUCAACUGAAGAGACAUCUCUUUCCAAACGCCCGAACCCAUUUUCGCCCCAGUUUUUUCCCCACGAGUUCUUCAGUAUCCAAUACUUCUCUCCGGUAUUACUGUCCUCGCCAUAACCUAUGAUGGCGACGACAUGGUUGACUGCAGUUCCGCAAGGUCCCUUAAAGAUGCCACCGCCGACGUAAAGCUGGAAGUCCCUGGUGGCUUCGAGAUAGGAAGCUACCGGUUGCUUCGACACGGCAACCUUAAGACUGGUUUCGUUGUUUCUAGGCAGAUGUUGAUAAGCGUCGAUGUAAGCCGCAUUCGGCACGAUGUUGGACUCACAAUUGCGUUGAACUCCUGUAUAGGGAUAGGAAGACUCGGUUGCCACACCUCCAUUCCGUAUGAUGAAUUUGUAGGCUUGGUGCGCCCAGCCUCCACCUAUGCACCCGCUGCCAACGCUGCAAUCCAUAACCUCCUGUUCUGAUAGGGAUAUCAGUGCUCCUUUUUUGAUCUUGUAGAUUCCUUCCACCGUCGCAAUCGCAGCGAACGCCCAGCAAGUUUCUAUUCAAAAUUAAGGUUCACUUUAGCAUUUGCAAGAGAAAUUAAUUAUGUCCGUUAUUAAUUAAUUAAUUAAUUACGACAAAAGAAAGUAUAUACGCCACUUAUUAAGACAUAAUAAUAAUAAUAAUUAUGUAAUAACAUUUAAAUCUAUAUAAGAGAACCGUAUUAUUAUUAUCAUUAAAUUAUUAUUGUUGGGUACAAAUAGCGGUAAUAACUAAUAACUUUUUUUUUGUUAUUAGUACGCAUGCAGCACAAUAAAAUAAUAUGUAUUAUAAUAUAUAAUAUGUUAAAAUAUAAUAUCUUUUAUUAUAUUUAUAUAUUUACAUAGAGCUAGGCACCAAUACUAUCUAUAAUAGCAGGCUCCAGUACUAUAGUCUUGUCUUCAAUCUUACAAUAUUCAAAUUAAUGAUUCAUCCCGUUAAAACCUGGUCCAGCGUAUUUGAAGUUUUUAAAAGUAAAAUUUUAUAUUUUUUCGAUAUAGUUUACUUUAUGAUCAAAUCAUUUGAUAGAAAAUAUUUUAAACUAUCUAUAUCAAUAUCAACAUCCUUAAUCUUGAAUUUAAAAAUUCUAUCCUCAAAUUUUAAAGUUUAUUCAAUUUCAACCGUUCAUUUUGAUAUGCUUUACUUACUAAGUAAACAAUGUCGAAAAAAAUUAAAAUUUUAUUUUUUAGAACUUCAUAAAUUCUAGAUUAUAUAUAACAGUGUGGAUCAUUGAUUUGAACAUUUUAAGAUCGAAAAUAAGAUUAUAAUACUAGAGUAUCGACACUAUAUAUAGUAUAAUAGCCUAAUUCCGUUUAUAUAUAGGUAUUAUUGGGGGACGGUUUAUAAUUAUCAAGUUUCACUAUCUCACAUUCUCAUCCCAUAUCUGAUAUGAUUAUAUGAUAUAAUGCCCGCACACUGUUGGUGGGCUUAAGACAUAAACUUUCAAUUUAAAUGUGAAAAAAUUAUUUAUCUAAGGCAGAUGGAAUGGUAGACCGAGCACAUUUGUUCUAGUGUACGUUAACAUUUAUUGUUUCCGAAAACAAAGAAUAUUUUGGUACAAGAUAAAACAAUUGUAAAUAUGUAUUUGGAUACAUUCGAAGAUAUUUUAGAAGAUAUUCUUCGUAGCGUUUAGAUAAAAAAUCUAGAACAAUAUUUAAAUAUAUUUUUAAAAAUAAAAUAAUUAAUUUAUAUUAGUAUAUUUUAUAUAAAAUUAUUUCAUAUAGUAAUUUAUAAUAUAAUAUUUUAUGUAAUAAUUUAAUUUAAAAUAGCAUAUUUAUGUUAAUAUAUAUAAUAAUUUAUUUUCUAUAAUAAUUUAUUUUAUAUAAUUUAUUUAUAAUAUAUGUAAGGAAUAAAGUAUAAUACUAACAAUAUCCUUAUAAUUUUAAUUAAUAAUAUUAUAAAUUUUAAUACAAAUUAAAAAUAUUUGUAAUAUAUGAAAAAUGAUUUUAUAUAUAAAAUACUUAAUAUUAAAUAAAAUAAUUAAAUAUUAAUAAAUAAAUAAUAAAACUUAAUAAAAUAAAUAAUAUAUCAAAUUUAAUUAAUUUAUAUUAUAUAAUAAAAUUUAAGUAUAAAUAUAUUAUCAUAAAAAUAUUAAUAUAUUUAUNAUAUAUAUAUAUAAAGAGAAGAACAAAGUUGUGUUUAGUUUUCCUUCGAACCAUUUUUAACGGAUUGUUCCAGAAUAACCUGCUUUUAGCGGAACAACCCAUUCUCUUUAGUUCUUCCAUCGGUUGGUUAUAAAUUGGAGGAUAUACCGUCUUGUUCCAGAAUAUCUCCGAUACCAAAUACAGCCUAGAGGAAUAGUAAUGUAUUUCCUAUUCAAACUUUGGUUCCUAGGAGGAGAACUUUGUGGAAAAAAUGGAUUACUAUAAAAGGUACUAUGAAACUUUUUGAAAGAUUCAAGACAUGAAAAUUAAUUUUAAAAAAUGGAAUAAUGAGGUUAGAAGACUAUUGGAAUUUUAACUUAGGGCGUCCUAAACUGCUAAGUAGAUUAAAUUCUGAUGGCAUACCAUGUUAGACCGUCAAUUAAUUGAUUAUUUCUAAUAACUUAGGCUUUUAUUGAUAAUUAGUUGUUUUACAAAAUUAAGCUGAUUUAAUUACUAUAUUAUAGUCAACACUUCUUACCGCAUGUGCCUUGUUGUUUGACUUCUGUCACUGCAUCAUAGUCCCUCCAAUCUAUACUAUCGGGCACUGCGGACAUGUUUACAUCCUCAAAGGACGUCAAGGGCGCCUCUUGCUUCACGUUUAGGGGGAUAGAAGCACUGGUGUACUUACUCAGAAAUUCAUCAAAUGUCAUAUCAGCAAAUUGGUUGGUGCCGAGAGUGUACGAGUUUCCGCUCCGAUUAUUGAAGGUUUCAAUAUAGUUCACGUUAUCCUGAAAUAUCUGAAACCGCCGCCACUUCUCCGCAUCAUCUGCAUAAACACGGCCGAACCGAGCCAUCCAUUCUUCGAACCUCUGCAUCAUGGGAUGACUAGGAGAAGUUGCCCGGGGCGAAGCCCACAUCAGAGAAACAACCAUGUAAAAAAACAAGAGUAGAUAUUUGGAACCCAUGUGUAGCAGUACUAAUAAUAGCAGCUGCACUUGGAAGGGAGACUAUUUAUAUGAUCUAGCUUUCGUUGUGAGGAUGAGCUUCUCGCAUCGAGCUUAUAUAUAUAUAUAUAUAUACACUCAUAUAUAUAGAAGUGCGCGAUUGCUACAUGGAGUAUUAGUGGGAGAUAGAUGUGGACCAUUAUCGAAGGAAAAUAAUUGCCUUUCCUGUUUAAUAAUUAGUUGAGGGAUCCAACACUAGCUUGAUAGGUAAUUAGAAUUAGAUAGGUACAUUAAUUCAUAUCCGUUUUUAUUAACGUAAAGCUAUAUAUAGAUCCAUGGUUCGUACCCUCAAAUCAAUCUUUAAAAAUAAGGAUUGAACCCAGUUCUUAAAUUAUUGUCUAAUUCUAGACUUAUUAGAUAGCAUUCUAUUUUGAAGGAUCAAUUUCUUGUAUACUCCUGUAAGGACUGAGCCCUUGAUGAUUAAUAUCUAAGGUCUCAAAUUCGAACUUUAGUUAUUUUAUAUUUCUAGCAGAGUACAUUUCUAUAAAGCUAAACGAAGCUGAUAACUUGUUACCAUUCACUUUCUCAAAAAAAAAAAAAAAAAAGAAGAGAAAACUAAAAGGUUACUAAUAAGAUAAUAGCAGUAAUAAUAGUACAAGGAAAUGUAUAGAGUUCCUCUUGAUCAAUUAUUAGCUAUGACAAAUGAAUGAUUGGAUCAUUGAGGAAAAAAAAAANAUAUAUAUAUAUAUAUAUAUAUAUAUAUAUAUAUAAUGAAAACUCUAUUCAAACAUAUAUUUUUGGGAUGUAUGAUAUACACCUAUUCUUUCUAAGGUGCUAGUAGAAUCCAUUCCAUCUUUAAAAUGGAUGGGUGUAUAUCAUACAUCCUAAAUAGGGAUGUAUGUUUAGUAUUACUCUUUUGAAAUAUUUCUAGCCCCAUCAAUUGAGUUUACAUAUUUUAACUUUUAAGUUGAGUUAUCAUUUUAGCAAAAUAUUUUAAGAAUUUUCAGAAUUUUUCAAUAUUUCCAUGAAAUUUUAUAAUCUCAAUUACUUUUUAAAAUUAGUAUAAUUAAUUGCUAUAUAUCUGAUAGAGUGCUUUUUUAAAUUAAAUUCAUUUUUUUAGUUAAAUAACUAGGAAUUUUUAAAGUGAAAAUAUAAGAUGGCAAUUUUAAAAUGUCUUAUAUACAUUUGAGGAGGCCUCCGUUCAUCCAUUUAGUGGGUAGGCCUCCGUGCAUUUUUCUCAUUUAAUGAAAAUUUGAACUGAAAUUAUACUUAGAUAUUCUUGCCAUAACAACAUUCUAAAAAAAAAGAAAAUGUAUUUUGAUAUAGUUCCGACACAGACUUUGAAAAAAUAAAAAAAUUGACAAUUUUAUUGGUAGAUGUGAUGCGUUUGUAAAUUUAACGGUAUAAAAUAAUUCAAAUCUGAUGAAAUUUUUAUAGAAAAUUUUUUUCACUAUUUAGAGUAAGAUCAAUACCUCUAAUCUUAAAUUCAAAUCUUUUGUCAUCAUUUUUUAUGAGAUUUUUAUUUUCAAUCAUUAACUUUUAGACUACUCAUUUGAUAGGUAAUGAUGCCAAAAAAUUAUGAAAUUUAGCUUCAAAAUACUUUAAAUAAUGUAGAUCAACUCGAGCAGAGCCGAUCGUUGAUUUGGAAGCCGCACCAUUAAAAAUAACUUGGUAGCACGGAGGUCUCCAUGCUACCGAUAGUAUACCAGCCUUGCUUUCUUUCUCUCUCUAUAUAUAUAUAUAUAGAGAGAGAGAGAGAGUCCAGUUGUGAUACUAUCGAUAGCACCAAGGACUUAGUGCUAUUGAGUUUUCUACCGUUAAAUUUAACCGUUUGGUUAUUUUUACUCAUUAGAUUAUACUAUUCAAUCAACCACCCACUCAACUCUAGGGGACCCACAUCAUCCUAACCGCAUAUUUCUCAAUCCAAUGGCUAAAAAACUAAUAACACCAAUAACUUUGUGCUAUUGAUAGUGUUCCAGCCUAAUUUUAUCAAUAACAUUAAAUUAUUGGUGUUAUUAAAUUUUCAGUUAUUGAAUGAAAAAAAUAUACGGUUAUGAUGAUGCGGGCUCCUCGAGAAUUGAGUGAGUAAUUAGUGAGUUGUUAGUUGAGUUAUUAGUUGAAUCGGUCAAACUGGAAGCCACGAGGAACACGAACCACUUAAGCACGCAGAAUACAUAACGCACACAUCCAAACAAGUUAACUCGAUCUCCACGCACACGUCGACGUUAUUUAGUAGCUGUCGAGUUUAUCGUGUCGCGAGCAGAUCGAUCGAUCACUUCAUAUAUAGCUGAAUUAUACAUCGCUUCGAUCUGAAUUAUACAGCGCUUAUGCCAUCAGAUCCCACGUCGGAGAGUUCGAGAGGAGUCGAGUUGAUAAUCGGGAUGAGCGGCCACUCGGCAAUACCACAUAAUCCUUCAACUGCAGCGACAUCUCUUUCCAAACGCCCGAACCCCUUUUCGCCCCAGUUUUUUCCCCACGAGUUCUUCAGUAUCCAAUAUUUAUCUCCGGUAUUACUGUCCUCGCCAUAACCUAUAAUGGUGACGGCAUGGUUGACUGCAGUUCCGCAGGGUCCCUUAAAGACGCCACCGUUGUAAAGCUGGAAGUCCUUGGUGGCUUCGACAGCGGAGGCUACCGGUUGCUUCGACACGGCAACCUUAAGACUGGCUUCGUUCUUUCUAGGCAGAAACUUGUAAGCGUCGAUUUCAGCUGCAUUCGGCACGAUGUUGGACUCGCAAUUGCCUAGAACUCCUGUAUAGGGAUAGGAAGACUCGGUUGUCACACCUCCAUUCCGUAUGAUGAAUUUGUAGGCUUGGUGCACCCAGCCUCCACCUUUGCACCCGCUGCUAACGCUGCAAUCCAGAACCUCCUGCUCUGAUAGGGAUAUCAGUGCUCCUUUUUUGAUCUUGUAGAUUCCUUCCACCGUCGCAAUCGCAGUGAACGCCCAGCAAGAUUCUAUUCGAAAGAAAAAUUUUACUAUAGCAUUUGCAAGAGAAAUAUAUAUAUAUAUAUGUCCGUUAUUAAUUAAUUAAGGCAAAAGAAAUUAUAUAUGUCAUUUAUUAAGACAUAAUUAUGUAAUAAUAUUUAAAUCUAUAAGAAACCCGUAUUAUUGUUAUCAUUAAAUUAUUAUUGUUGAGUACAAAUCGUACUAAUAAAUAAUAAUUUUUUUUUAUUGUUGUUGUUAUUAGUACUUAGCACAAUAAAAUAAUUUGUAUUAAAAUAUAUAAUAUGUUAAAAUAUAUUAUCUUUUAUUAUAUUUAUACAUUUAUAUAGAGCUAAGCUCCUAUACUAUCUAUAAUACCAGUCUUUGAUACUAUAGUCUUGUUUUCAACUUUAAAAUAUUCGAAUUAAUGAUUCAUGCCGUUAAAAACUGAUUUAGGGUAUUUGAAGUUUUUGAAAUAAAAUUUUAUAUUUUUUCGAUGGAUUGCUUAUGAUCAAAUCAUUUAAAAAUUAUCAAUUUUCAAUGACUAGUAUGGUGAGUUUGUAAUAUAUAUAACGGUAUAAAAAAUUCUAAAUUUAUUCAUAUUUUUAUAAAAAAAAUAUUUUAAACUAUUUAGAUCAAGAUCAACAUACUUAAUCUUGAAUUUAAAAGUUCUAUCCUCAAAUUUUAAAAUUUGUUCAAUUUUAACUGUUCAUUUUAAUAUGAUUUACUUACUAAGUAAAUAAUGUCAAAAAAAGUUAAAAUUUUAUUUUUAAGAAUUUUAUAUAUUCUAAAUCAUAUGUUACGUUGUGGAUUAUUGAUUUGAACAUCUUAAGAUCGAAAAUAAAACUAUAAUACCGGAAGCAUCGAUACUAUAUAUAGUAUAAUAGCCUAAUUUCGUUUAUAUAUAUAUAUAUAUAUAUAUAUACUAUUGGGGACGGUUUAUAAUUAUCACAUUUGACGGUCUCACCCCAUAUCUGAUAUGAAGACACAUGAUAUAUGAUAUAAUGCCCGCACACUGUUGUUGGGCUUAAGACAUAAACUUUCAAUUUAAAUGUGAAAAAAUUAUUUAUCUAAGGCAGAUGGAAUGGUAGGCCGAGCACAUUUUGUUCUUGUGUUAACAAGGGCUGCGUUUGGUUGAAAAACUAAAUUUUGUAAAACAACUUUUGUUAUUCCCGAGAACAAAAAAUAUUUCGGUAAAAGAUAGAAUCAUUGUAAAUUUGUGUUUGGAUACAUUUGGAGAUAUUUUAAAAAAUAUUCUUACUAGCGUUUGAAUAAAAAGUCUAGAAUAAUAUUUAAAUAUAUUUUUAAAAAUAAAAUAAUUAAUUUAUAUUAGUAUAUUUUAUAUAAAACUAUUUCAUAUAUUAAUUUAUAAUAUAAUAUUUUAUGUAAUAAUUUAAUUUAAAAUAGCAUAUUUAUUUUAAUAUAUAUAAUAAUUUAUUUUAUAUAAUUUAUUCAUAAUAUAUGUUAUGAAUAAAGUAUAAUACUAAUAAUAUCCUUAUAAUUUUAAUUACUAAUAUCAUAAAUUUCAAUACAAAUUAAUAAAUAUAUAUCAUGUAUGAAAAAUUGAUUAUAUAUACAAUACUUAAUAUUAAAUAAAAUAACAAAAUAUUAAUAUAUAAACGAUAAAACAAAAUAAAAUAAAUAAUAUAUCAAAUUUAAUUAAUUUAUAUUAUAUAAUAAAAUUUAGGUAUAAAUAUAUCAUCAUAAACAUAAUAUUUAUAUUAAUAUAUUUAUUUAUAUAUCUAUUUAUCUAAUAAAAUAAAAAGAAGAACAAAUUUAUUCUUAGUUUCCCUUCGAACAAUUUUUAACAAGUUGUCCCAGAACAAUCCGUUUUGAUCGGAACAACCCCUUUUUUUCAUCUUUCACCAUUUGGUUACAAAUUAGGAAUAUGCCGUUUUAUUCCAGAAAAUCUCCAGUGCAAACGCAGCCUAGCUAGAGGAAUAGUAAUAAAUUUCCUAUUCAAACUUUGGUUCCUACGAGAGAGAUCUUUGUGAAAAAAAUGGAUUACUAUAAAAGGUACUAAUAAAAUGUUACUUUAAAUACCAUACUUUCUAAACUUUCUUCUAUUUAGGCUCGAAAUUUAUUUGACACAUCCAAGACACAAAAAUUAAUAAAAUGAAAGAGAAUUAAAUGAGGUUAAUUAGAAGCCUACUGGAAUUUUAACUCAGGGCCUCCUAAACUGCUAAUUAAGUAGAUUUAGUACUCAUGGCGUACAUGUUAGACAGUUAAUUAAUUGAUUAUUUCUAAAAACUUAGGCUUUUAUUGAUAAUUAGUUGUUUUACAAAAUUAAGCUGCUUUAAUUAAUAUAUUAUAGUCAACACUGCUUACCGCAUGUGCCUUGUUGUUUGACUUCUGUCACAGCAUCAAAGUCCCUCCAAUCUAUACUGUCGGGCACCGCGGACACGUUUACAUCCUCAAAGGACGUCAAGGGCGCCUCUUGCUUCAAGUCUAGGGGGAUAGAAGCACCGGUGUACUUACCCAGAAAUUCAUCAAAUGUCAUAUCAGCAAAUUGGUUAGUGCCGAGAGUGUACGAGUUUCCGCUUCGAUUAUUGAAGGUUUCGAUAUAGUUCACGUUAUCCUGAAAUAUCUGAAACCGCCGCCACUUCUCAGCAUCAUUUGUAUAAACACGACCGAACCGAGCCAUCCAUUCUUCGAACCUCUGCAUCAUGGGAUGACUAGGAGAAGCUGCCCGGGGCGAAGCCCACAUCAAAGAAACAACCAUGUAAAAGAACAAGAGAAGAUAUUUGGAACCCAUGUGUAGGAGAAGCUGCACUUGGAAUGGAGACUAUAUGAUCUAAUGAGGAUACGCUUCUCGUAUCGAGCUUAUACAUAUAUAUAGAAGUGCGUGAUUGCUACAUGGAGUAUUAAUUAGUGGGAGAUCGAUGCUGUGGAACAUUAUUGAAGGAAAAUAAUCGCCUUUCCUCUCUAAUAAUUAGUUUGAGGGAUCCAACGCUAGCUAGAUAUAGGUAAUUUAGAAUUAGAUAGGUACAUUCAUAUCCUUUUAUUAUCGUAAAAGCUAUAUCUAGAUCGAUGGUUCGUACCCUCAAAUCAAUCUUUAAAAAUAAGGAUUGCACCCAAUUCUUAAAUUAUUGUCUAAUUCUAGACUUAUUAGACAGCAUUAUAUUUUGAAGGAUCAAUUUCUUUAUAUACUCCUGUAAUGACUGAGCCCUUGAUGAUUAAUAUCUAAGAUCUCAAAUUCGAACUUUAGUUAUUUUAUAUUUCUCGCAGAGUUCAUUUCUAUAAAACAAAACGAAACUCAUAGCUUCCGACCCUUCUCUUUCUCAUAAACAAAAAAAAAAAGAAAAACAAAAAAAAAAACCUAAAAUGCUACAGAUAAAUAGUCGCAGUAAUAAUAGUACAAAGAAAUGUGAGAGUCUCUUGAUCAAUUAUGGCUAAUGACAAAUGAAAGAUUGGAUCAUUGAGGGAAAAAAUAUAUUGAAUCCCCUCCAUCAAUUAUAGACCAUUGCUCUUUGAUAAUAUAUAUAUAUAUAUAUAUAUAUAUAUAUAUAUAUAUAUAUAUAUAUAUAUAUAUAUAAUAAAAACUCUAUUCAUACAUUUUUUUUUAGGGUGUAUGAUGUACACCUACCCUUUCUAGGAUGCUAGUAGAAUCCAUCCCAUCUUAGAAUGGGUGGAUGUAUAUCAUACAUCCACACUUAGAAUAGGUGCGUGUAUAUCAUACAUGCUAAAUAGGGAUGUAUAUUUAGUAGGGAAAAUUUCAUAGAUGCCCCUGUAGGAGACCGAAAUUUCAUCAAUAGCCCUCUAAAAUUCAAAAUAUCAUGAAUGCCCUUCUAAAUUUAAAAAAUAUUCAUGAAUACCCCUACAGGUUAUGUACCGUUAGAAUCUAACGGAAUAAGGUGUAAAUACCAUUUCUGCCCUUGCACUGCUCCUUAACUAUAGGGAUAAUAUCACAGAUGCCCUUCUAGAAAUAGUUAAUUUCAUUAAUACCUAUCAAAAAUUGAUAAUAACACGAAUACUCUCCAACAUAUUAAAAAUUAUCACAAAUGCCCUCCACUAGUUAAUAUCCGUUAAAAUCAUUAAAUUUUUAAAAUAUCAUUUUUACCCUUUAUCUCUUAUCAAUAAUAGAAACACUAAUAGGUAUUUCAAGAUAAUUUUUAUAAAUCUAAAUUUGACUAUUUAAUAUAUAAAUAUUAAAUUAAUUUUUAAAUGAUAUAUAAAAAUUGUAUUUUAUAUAUAGUAUGUUUUUAUAUGGUUUUGGUUUUGUUUUUGGCUUCGAGUUUUGGUUCAAAUUCGAUUUGGAUAUAGACCAAAAUCAUAACUAAAUUUAAAUACGAUGAGAGUUCAUUUUUUUGUACUUAUAAUUGAAACUAUCCCGCUCAGCAUCGAUUAAGCUCAUCUCAUUCAAAAUUGAGUUCACAUAAAAUUGUAUACCUAUAUCAUUUCACAUUCCUAAUCAGUAAUAGUAAUUUGAAAUAAAUUAUAGAUUUUAUGUUUUUCCUAUUUAAUCAAAAAUAAAUUACAUAACUAUAUCAAUAUGCAUGCUUUUUUUAUUGAUUUUUUUAAAAAAAGAGAAUUUUGUUCAAAAGCUUAAAUAUAUUAUAUUUCAGUUUUUAAUGCAUUUAAUGCAGAUAAAAUUAUUGAGAAUAAUUUAAGCUUCCAAAAUUAAAGAAAGAUCGAAAAAUCCUCAACAUUUACUUUUAUUUAAUUUUUUAUACAUAGUUAAAAUAAAUGGAGCCACUAGAUUUGGUGAAAUCAUAAAAACCUUGAUAAAAUUUUUAUUUUUCAUACACUAAAAUUAGUUAAUUUUUUAAAAAACCAAAAGUUAAUGGGAUGUUAACUUAAAAAAAUAAAAGUUGAGGGAGCCAUUGAGGGGCUCUCCAUACAUUUUUAUUAAAGAGAUAGGUGAGGGUAAAUAGGUCAUUUUAAAAGUUAACCCAUCUUUAACCAUUAAACAACUAUGGUAAAGGUAAUAUAACUAACUGUAGGGGUAUGGGUGAUACUUUUUUAUAUUUAUAGGGGCAUAUAUGAUAUUUUAAACUUUAUAGUGGCAUCCAUGAUAUUUUCAGCUUUAGGAGGGUUAUCUAUGAAAUUGCCCCUAUUUAGUAUUACUCUUUUGAAAUAUUUCUAGCCCCAUCAAUUGAGUUUACAUACUUUAAUUUUAAGUUGAGUUAUCGUUUUAGUAAAAUAUUAAUUGUAAGAAUUUUCAGAAUUUUUAAAUAGUUCCAUCAAAUUUAUAAUCUCAAUUACUUUUUAAAAUUAGUAUAAUUAAUUGCUACAUAUCUGAUAGAGUGCUUGUUUAAAUUAGAUUCAUUUUUUUACUUAAAUAACUAGGAAUUUUUAAAGUGAAAAAUAUAAGUUGGCAAUUUUAAAAUGUCUUAUAUACAUUUGAGGAGGCCUCCGUUCAUCCAUUUAGUGGGUAGGCCUCCGUGCAUUUUUCUCAUUUAAUGAAAAUUUGAACUGAAAUUAUACUUAGAUAUUCUUGCGAUAACAACAUUCUAAAAAAAAAAUGUAUUUUGAUAUAGAUCUGAUACAGACUUUGGAAAAAAAAAAAAAAAAAAAGGUUCUUUGAUAUACUUAUCAUAUCAAUAUUCCUAAACAAUAAAUAAAUAAAUAAAGAUAUAGGUCCGAUAACAUAUUUGCUUACCUUUUUUUGUUACUGAAAAAUUUUCUGUUGGUCUUUGCAUUCAGAGAAAAAAAUGCUUAGUGUAUGUAUAUAUAUACACUAGAGUUAUUAUGUAUCCAGAAAAAUAAAGAUCUAGAAUUUGGUAAUUUUAAUUUUUUUGCCCUUAGAUCAAGAAUUAUAGAGUUGGGAUUAUAGUGGUCCCACCCUAAGAUUUAAUGGUCUCCUUAGCGGAAUAAUAUUAAUUCAAGAGUUAGAAAUGGUCAAAAUUUUGAUUAAAGAUUAAAAAUUGAAACCACCAAAUUAAUGAGUCCAUUCUCCCAACCCUUUAAAUUGUUAUGAUUGUGUCCUUAACCUCUUACACAAUUUUCAAUUGAGUACUUUCGCUCUCAAUUGUUGCAAUUAGAUCCUUAACUUGUUUCAUUAGUAUAUAUACAUGGUAUGAUUCAUGCAGUCGAAGUACUUGUUAAAAAAUAGGUCUUAUAAACGCUUAAAAUGUAGUGGAGAGGCAGGUUUAAAUUAUAUCUAGAUUUAACAUUUCAUUUAAAAUCAAAUCUGAAACUCAUAAUAGUUCAUAACAUGUCGUCACAAACUUUUAGCAGGUCCAAGACAAGAACUAAGUUAAAAUGGGUGGAAUUUUGAUUCUUUUUCUCCAAAUAACACAACAAUUUUUUGUGUAAAAGCGUCCGCCGCUCCAUAUAUAGCAUAUCUCAUCGGAAAAAAAAAAACAUUUUUAAAUUUCUUUUUUGUAUGCAUAUAUAGUAUAAGAUGAUAAGUAUUUUAAUUUUUGAUGAAUACGUACAAUUUUUUAAAAUAAUAUAAAUAAGUUAUAUAUGGUGAAUAAUUUAUUUUUAAAAAAUAUAUGAACUAUUAAUAAAAUAUAUUAACUUUUAUUCAUUUGAAAAAUAUAAUAAUAUUUUAGCAAAAUUAAUAUUUUAUAUAUAAAAAAAUAUAUUAUAUUAUAUUAAUAAUAUUAUAUUUUAUUAUAAGCGGUGUCUUGCUAUACCGCAUCCGUAUCUUACUUUCCAAAAACUGCUAAGUCAUCGUGUCCGAACUGUGUCGUAUUUCGUAUUUUGUGUCCGUGUUUCGUGUAUGUACCGGUGAUGCCUAACUAGCUAGCUAGCUAGCUAGAGAAAAUUGUCGAGCUUUAAUCAUCUAUAUAUAUAUAUAUAUAUAUAUAUAUAUAUAUAUAUAUAUAUAUAUAUAUAUAUAUAUAUAUAUAUAUAUAUAUAUAUAUAUCACACACGUAGUUCAUCACAGUAGUAAUAAGCAGCACACUUUUAAUUACUACUUGAUAUUCUUACUAGCUAGUCAAAGCAGAAUACACAUCGAUCACAACAUACAUAUACAAAUGGCUUGAUCAUAAUACGAUAAUUAUUCAAACUUGCGAAGGAACGCGACAAGGUGAGGAUCACUUGAUCAAAUUGGUAAUAAACGACGAGGAACUCGAAGCACCUCCUUAAUUAUUUGUUAUAUAUUGGUAGGGAACGAUCGCUUCAUAUAUAUAUAUAGCUAAAUCGCAGCUUCAACCUUAUGCAGAGCUUCUUAGGCUAUCAGAUCCAACAACGGCGCCGGCGAGUUCCGUAGGAGCAGUUGAUGUGAUAGUUGGGUAAACUAGCUGCUUGGUAAGACCGCAUAAUCCAGAUUUGGAAGCGACAUCUUUUUCCAAUCUCAUGAAGCCAUUUUCUCCCCAGUUUGUACCCCAUGAAUUCUUUAUUAUCCAAUACUUAUCUCCAGUACUGUUGUCCGCUCCAUAACCUAUGACAGUGAUGGCAUGGUUAAUCAUAACUCCGCAAGGUCCUUUAUAGAUACCGCCGGUGUAAAGCUGGAAUUUCUUAUCUGCUUCGACGGCCGCGGCAACCGGUUGCUGCGACACGGCGUUCAUAAGUUUACUUUCACUGCGAGGCAGAAACUUGUAACCGGUUAUAGAAGCUGCAUUGGGCACGAUGUUGGAAGCGCAAUUGCCUUGAACUUCUUUGUAGGGAUACGAAGCUUCCGUUGCCACGCCUUUGUUAGAUAUGAUGAAAUCGUAGCCUUUGUGCACCCAGCCUCCGCCUUUGCACCCAUAACUAACGCUGCAAUCCAGAACCUCCUGCUCUGAUAGAGGUAUCAGCGAUCCUUUUUUAAUCUUGUAGAUUCCUUCCACCGUCGCAAUUGCAGUGAAUGCCCAGCAGGAUUCUACUCCGAAAACAAAGAUUCAAUUAAUUGUUUAGCAUUUACAAUAGAAAUUAUGUCCGUUAUUAAGACAUAAUUAUGAAAACAUCCAAACAAUAGGUUUUCUUUUUCUCUUUCUUUUUUUUCCAAGAGAAAGGUAGCAAGUUGCCUCCUUCCUAUAUUUUUUUAAAAUAAAUAAAUUUAGAAAGAAAUUUAAAAUAAUUAAAUUUUGAAUUUGGAAUCUCGAAUAUCAACCGGCAAACUUUUAGCCAACUGCACUAGAUACGAUCGGCAGCAAAACUAAUUAGAAGUUAUUACGAAACCAAAACGUACUGCUUCUAACAAUCUCCUAAGAAGUGAAUUCCCACAGCAGAUAUAUAUCCUCUUGAAAAGAGGAUGGCCAAGUGAUUAACAUUGCGGUUUAUAAUAAAUUAAUUUUACAAUAAUUUAUUUUUAUUAAAUUAUAUUUUAUAUCAAAUUCAAUUAUUAUAUUUUUUUUUCACUAUCCUCUGCUAAUUAAUCAAACACAAUUUUAACUAUUUCUGAGAAUAGCAACAUUACAAACUAAAUAUAAUUUUAUUUUUAUUCUUGAUUAGCUCUUGAAUAGUAAAUUAUUCCAGAGAUAAAAAAAAUUUAUUCUAAUGUUUGUUAUCCUGAAACCAAAUAGGACCUUAUUAGUGCAUUCCAAUAGCAUAGACUACUGUUUUGUAAUUAGGUACACUUCUUUUUUCGGGGCGUGCGCGCUUAUUUUAGGUCUAUUUUUAGGUCAAAAAAUGAACUUCUUAAUGAUAUAUACUUGGUUGUAUUCACCAGUAUCAGCAAACAGUAACUUAUUGCACAGCAAGGCUAACUUCAUUUCAUGUGUUUCAAGUACCUUUUCGAGGAUAUUUAUUCACGUGCUUAUUUAAUUUCAAUGCUAGCUACAGUGAAGGUCCGUACUAUUCAAAACUUUUCUUGGGAAAAGGAACUCUAAAAGGAGACCAUAUAAAUUUGUUUUACUGAUAAUGCAUGAAAUGGUCUCUCUUUUUUUUUUUCCAAAAUAAACACGUCCAAUUAAUUCUUAUCACGUACGCUACUACCCUGUGACACUUCAUUUCGUUCGAGUACAAGCAAGAAUUAUUUAUUUUAGAAAUAGAUACAAAUUUUGAAAUUUACGUUUAGAUAAAAAUUGAGUUGUUCUCGAAAAUAAAAAAAAAAUAACGUUUGAAUAGAUAAGAUACAAUAAAAAAAAUAUUGAAUAGUUAUAAAUAGAAAAUAAUGAUAUUAUUCCUUAUAUUAUAUUUAAAUUAAUAUUUUAUAUUUUAUAUUUAAAUUUUUAAAUUUAAAUAUAUAAUUUUUAAAUUUUUAAAUUUAAAUUUAAAAUUUAAAAUCUCGAAUUCGAGAGUUUGAGCUAGCUAGGAGGGUCUUGUUCUAAUGUUAACUGUUAAAUAUAAAAAUGUUUAAACACCGUUCUCUAACAAUUUAAGCUUUUGAGUACAACGGUUGUUUCACAUGCUAUUAAUUUCCUUCCAUUUAAUUCAAGCCCACGUCAUGGCCGAUUAAAAAGUCUCGAGCCCAGACGUGAGGGGGACUACUAUGCUAUCGAAAGCACGGAGCCUUCCGUGCUUCCAGCUCGUUUUCGAUGUUGCAACUUUCGAAUUGUCGAUCGGCUCCGUUAAACUUGAUCUAGAGUAUUUGGAGUAUCUAGAAAAUAAAUUUUAUUAUUUUUUGAUAUCAUUUGCCUAGUGAUCGAAUGGGCUCAAAAUCAACAAAUUUCAAUGGCCGUAGUGUGCUGUUUGCAAGUUUAACGGUGUAGAAAUAUCUAAAUCACGUGAAAUUUUGAUAGAAAAUUCUUUAUACUAUAUAAAACAAGAUCAAUAUCUUUGAUUUAAAAUUUUAAUGUCAUAUUAUUACAUUUUGUAAGAUUUUUAUUUUCAGCCGUUGAUUUUGAGCCCCUUCGUUCACUAGGCAAAUGAUAUCGUAAAAUCAUAAAAUUUAUUUUCUAGGUACUUCAAAUACUCUAGAUCAAGUUUAACGGAGCCGAUCGACGAUUCGAAAGUCGCAACAUCGAAAACGAGCUAGAAGCACGGAAGGCUCCGUGCUUCCGAUAGCAUAGUAGCCUCACUCUAUAUAUAUAUAUAUAUAUAUAUAUAUAUAUAUAUAUAAAUAAUACGUACUUAACACUUCUUACGGUGUAUGCCUUAUUGUUUGACUUUUAUGAUAACAUUAUAGUCCCUCCAAUCUAUACUUUGAGGCACUGAGGACAUUUUACGUUCUCAAAUUAUGUCAACGGCGCCUCUGACUUCAUAUUUAGAGGGACUGAUUUUAUGUUCAUGGCAUGUCAUGUUAGAAUGUCGCUUAUCUUUAAAAACUUAAACUUACAUGUGAAACUAGCUAGUUGCUUUACAAAAGGACACUGCUUUAAUAUAUAUUACAUUUAACAUUUCUUACCGCAUCACUUAAUGAAUGAAGCAGGUAGCAGCUUGCUACCUAUUUCUUAAAAAAAAAUACUUCUUACCGCAUGUGCCUUGUUGUUUGACUUCAGUGACGGCACCAUGGUCCCUCCAAUCUAUGCUCUUAGGCACCGCGGAUAUAUUUACAUCCUCAAAUGAUGUCAAGGUCAAUGUCUCUGACUUCAUUUUUAGAGGGACAGAUGUACCGGUGUACUUAGCUAGAAAUUCAUCAAAUGUCAUAUCAGCAAAUUGGUUAGUGCCGAGAGUGUACGAGUUCCCGCUUCGAUUAUUGAAGGAUUCGAUAUAGUUCACGUUAUCCUGAAAUAUCUGGAACCGCCGCCACUUCUCCGCAUCGUCUGUAUAAACACGAUGGAACCGAGCCAUCCAUUCUUCGAACCUCCGCAUCAUGGGAUCAUCCGGUAGGCUACGAGAAGCUGCCCGUGGCGAAGCCAACAUUACAGAAACAACCAUGUAAAAUAACACAAGUUGAAAUUUGGAACCCAUAAUAUCACCUACACUUUGGAAUGGUUUAAUUUCGUUUGUGUGGAUGAGCUCCUUGCCAAAUCGAGCUUAUAUAGAAGUUCGUGACUACAACUAGAAGCAUUAGUAGGAGAUAGAUGCUGUGGAAAAUAAUGGAAGAAAAAUAAUCGAAGGGCCUAUUGAAAGCGGCCUUUUGGCCGGUGACAAUUAGUUGAGGAAUCCAAAGCUCGGUAGAUAUUUAACAAUUAGAUACCUGGAUCAAAAUCCUUUGAACAAUUAGAUGUUUACUGCUAUAAGCUAGAACUUAUAGAAACAGCACAACGGUAAAAUUUUCAAUGAGUUGUAUAGAUCAUCUGAAAAAAAAGCUCGAGUAUCUCACAAUAAUGCACUAAUGUUGUUUAAAUUUUUGUAACCGGAGGUUUCAAUUUGGGAGAUCAAUUAUUACUGUGGGCCUACUCAGCCCUAGUAAUUAUAACCUAUAUUUGUUUUACACGUAACUUCUAUUAUACAUUCAAUAAAACGUGUAGGUAAUACCCUGUACAUUCCUUUCACAAAAAAAAAAUCACAAAGCUAUAGAUUAUUUUCAAUUCGAUCACAAAACAAGUAAAGAAAUAUGACAAUAUUUGAAACGAAAUCUUUAUGGCCCAAUGCUUGCUCUUGCAAGUAUGAGUAAAUAGAAAUAGAAUUUGUGGCAAAUAAUUGAUUGUUUUAACUGUGUGCGUGCGUGUGUGUAUAUAUAUUGGAUCCCUUAAUCAAUUCUAUACGUUAAAUUAUGUUAUUCUAUCAACUAUCCACUAAAUCUUAGGAGACUACUAUCAUUUCAAACCUACAAUUUUUUAUCUUAAGGGUUAUAAAGUUAGUGGUAAAAAAGUACAAAUAUUAUUAAUAUUAUUCCAACACAAUUAUAUAAAUGUAUACGCAUAAAUUGCACCUUAAUUUCCAUGAUUAGAUUAAUAAUUAUAUAUUGUGAUGAUGUAAUUAUCGACUUUUACAUUCUUGUUCGAUUUUCUCUUCAAGGUGACCGCAAAGCAUUGCUCUUAUGGCUAGUCCUUAAUUCACAUCAAUCAUUAUAAUCAUCUAGCUUCCAUGAUUCAUAAGUUUUUUCGAUCGACCCGACUUUAAUUUUAUGUGUAAUUUAAAAAUUGUUAGUGUUAUUAAUUUAAAAGAUCAAUUUAAUUAAGAAUCUGCUUAUGAAUAGUCUUAAAAUUGAUAACUAUGCUGUGAUGGAUACAGAUUAUGUUUUUUUGAGAAAAAGAUAGCAUACUAUUAAUUUCGUUUAUUAUGUGGAGCGUAGAGCUUAUAAUAAUUGAACCCAUGCGUUAAUGCGUUGUAUCCAAAGUAGGAGAAGGACUAGGUGANUAUAUAUAUAUAUAUAUAUAUAUAUAUAUAUAUAUAUAUAUAGAGGUUGAGUAGUUGAUAGGCGUUUGUCAAUUGGCAGCUGCAUGUGUACCACAAUCUGACCUAAAAUUGAUUUAGGUACAUAAAUAGCUCCUGUAUUGUAAAAGCUCUAUAUAAGGUAAAUUCACAAAGCCCUCUUUUACAUUACCCCACGUCUCAAUUACCUCUUAGUAAUCGAAUUGUUGGUAUAUAUCUUACUACAGAGAUUGCAAACCCACCAUUCUAAAUCACGAUUUCGAAUUGCUCAUUCUGAUAUCCACCGAUUUCUUAUCAGAAUAGAAAAAAGUUGCAAACUGAUGGAGAAUUGAAAAAAAAAGGGGCAUGCACAUAAUUAGAUUAGAAGAGCAUGAGCGAUUCAACAGGAACGAUUCAACUAAUCCUGUGUAGCUGUGCAACUUUCCACAAUAUAUGCCCCAUUAAUUUUAGGUAAUUUUAAAGGAGGCACAUUAAGGUCGAGGGAACUGGUGUCAAUUGCAAGUACUUGGGGGAUUAUCUGGCUUAAACACAACAGGAGUAUUUUUUAGAAAAUGGAGGUAUUGGUGGGAAUAACCAAGAAUUACUAUUCUCGGAUAAAAAAUUAGUGUUUGGGUAUAAAAGGGGGAUAAGGGCCUAUUCCUAUCACUAUGUAGCCUAAUUUACUAUCUAAUUAAAUGAAGCAGUGGCAUGCUACUAUUUCUCAAAAAAAAAAAAAAAAAAAAAAAAAAAUAAAAAAAAAAAAAAAAAAAAAAAAAAAAAAAGGGUAAUUUUUACUGAAACCAAAUUCACCUUCUGUUUCUCUUUUCUCCUUUUCUUUUUCUUUUCUUUUCUCUCGUGUUUUCUUGUAGACUUCCUUAACUGAUGUCGAAACACUGUAUUUUAUUUUUAAUUAAUUGACGAUUUUUUUUUCCUCUUUCCAAAAGGAAAAAAGAAAAGAAUCUUUAAACUAAGAUGUAUGAAUUUGGUUUCAAGGUAAGGAUGAGGAUUAAAAUUUUCAUUAUUUUACCAAAAAGUCUCCACCAUCCUUAUAUUUUUUGAGCAAGAGAAAUAAAAGAAAGUAAACUUUUCUAUAAGUUUUUUGAGAAAUUAACUCAACUAGAAAUGCGAAACAACUAAUUUUUAAAUUUAGAAUCUUUGGUACCAACCAUUAAUUAGUCUCAGAUAUCAAUUAUUAAAUCUUUAACCAAUUUCACUAGAUACAGUCAGUACGUAGUAGUCUCUAUCUGCUUAUUGAUGUGAUGAGAUAGUGUGUUGGAUUAAUAAAGUAAAUUUUGGACGAACCCUGAAUUUUAGCUUGCGGUCGUAGUUUCUACUUAUAGCCUUCUGUGUGUGCGUGUUAAUGUCUAACGUGAGUUGGACCAGAAAUAGAUAAAAAUUAUAGGACUCAGAAGACAAAACCUUCCACUAGGCUUUUCUAGUAUACCAAAGGAACAAAUUAAACGAUCUUAUAUAGCAAUAUGAAUAAACUUCUCCUAUAUAGAUAUAGUCCAUAUUUUUAUCUGUGUUGGAACCCAAUUAAGUAAUUUACAUUAACCUCAUCCUACAAAAUGAGAUAUAAAUAGUUCACAGUAAGUAAACAGCUCACUUCAACUAAUACUUGAUAUUCAUGUCAAAUUAAGCUGAGUACCCUCGCACAAAGUACAAACAGUGGGAUAAUUAAUAAUACAUAUUCAAACUCGGAAUACGAAGCAAGUAACGAGCGAGGGAGAGAACCAUGCACACAACAGCCCUUUUUGUGACUUAAUUACAAGCUUAUACAGGAGCAAACAAGCACUUAAUUAAUUAGAUAGAGCUAGUUAUGCUGUCCGAUCCCGUGUCAGAGAGUUCGGAAUGAGGCAUUGAUGUGAGAGUUGGGUAGAGGGCGUACCGGGCAAUACCACAUAAUCCAGAAAAUGAUCCGGAUUCUCUUUGCAGCCUUAUGUACCCAGCUUCGCCCCAGUUUUGGCCCCAUGAGUUCUUUAUGAUCCAAAAUUUGUCUCCAGUCGUAUCGUCUUCUCCAUAUCCUAUAAUCGUGAUGGCAUGGUUAAUUUUGGUUCCACAAGGUCCUUUAAAGAUACCA
rnacentral:lncRNA from 1 species